UUUUUUUGUGUUUAUGUGCUUUUGCUUUUGUUUUUUAGUUUCUCUUUGUUAGUUAGUUUUAUUUUUAUUUUGUGGAUAUUUUUGGGAUGUUGGGUCAGUGUAAUGUACGCACAUAAAUAAUUUCCAAUGUGUGCAAAAAUUACACUACUAUGCGAUUAUUGUUUGCAUACUAAAAAAGUGCAAUUUAAGAGCGACGUUGUGUGCAAGUUUUGCAAACUUUUUUAGUUAUUUUUAAUGGGUAAUAAUAAUGCUACUAAUUCAUUCUUCCUUAUUUUAGUUCAUUUAUUUAUUUUUGUUUCUUUUUAAAGGGUAAUACUAAUGAAACUAAUUUAUUUUUCCUAUUAUUUUGAUUUUAUUUUAGUUUUAAUUUUAUUGUUUCUUCUUAAAGGGUAAUGCCAGUGAUAAUAAUUCAUUCUUCCUUAGAAAACUUCAUUAUUUUGAUUGUGCUCUAGUUUUUAGUUCAUUUUAUUUUUUUCUUAAAGAGUAAGGCGUAAGCCACUAAUUCAUUCUUUCUUGAAAACUUUUUUAUUUUGGUUUUAUAGUAUUAUUUUAUUUCUUUUAUUCUUUAAUGAAAAUACCAAUGUCGCAAAUUCAUUUCUUCUCAGGAAACUUCCUUUUUAUGAAAAUUACACUUUUAUGUUAUUAUUUCUGCAUAUUAUAAAAAUGAGCAACGUCUAUGCAAAUUGUUUGCAAAAUAUUUCAUUAUUUGUUUUAUUAUUUUCAAUUACUUUCUUCUUAACGGGAACCAAUGACACUAACUCAUUGUUUCUUAGAAAACUUCGCUAUUUUAAAAUUUUUUUAAGUUUUUAUUUAAUUUUCUUUAUUCUUUAAGGGUAAUACCAAUACAUCUAAUUCAUUCCUACGUAGGAAACUUUUUUUAGUGAAAUUUCACUAUUGGUGCUUAUUCUUGCAUAUUAUAAAAAAGCGCAAUUUCUAUUCCAACCGUGUGCAAAUUUUGUCAUUAUUGUUUUUUUACUUUUUUUGUCUUCUUAAACGAUAAUCAUGAAAUCACUAAUUCAUUAUUUUGAUCCGGAGAAGUAGAGACAUCAUGGAUCAAAUAGAAAUUCCACCAAUUUAUUCUUUCUUUAGAAAAAAUUCUUUUUGCGAAAAAAGUCACUAUUAUGUGUUUAUUCUUGCGUAUAAUAAUAAAGCGCAAUUUAUAUGCAGAUUGUGUGCAGAUUUUGUCAUUAUUUUGUUUUAGUUUUUUAUAUCAUUGUCUUUCCUAUUAAAGGGUAUUUUUGCUUCAUUUUUUAUUUAUGUUUUCUGUUUCUAUGGUUUUUCUUUUUCCCUUUUUCUUUCCUUUAUUGGUUAUUUUUGUUUUUAGUGGGUUUUUGGCUGAGUGUUAUUAUAUACAAACAAAUACUAUAUAAUAUGUGCCAAAAUUUCAUGAUUAUAUGAUUAUUUUUUCAUUUUACGAUAAAGUGCAAUUUCGGUGCAAAGUUGCGCAAGUGUUUUUAGUUCUCUUUCUUUUAAAAGGAAAUAAAUUAUUUCAGUUACAUUCUGUGGAAAUUAUAGUAGAAUGCAAAAAAUGCACUAUUAUAUGCUUCUUCUUUGCAUAUUUCAAAAAGUGUAAUAUCAGUGCAAAUUGUGUGCAAGUUUUCAAAGUUUUUUCUUUUUCAUUUUCUUUCUUCCUAAAGGGCCCAUUCUUUCUUAGCAAACUUCACUAUUUUGAUUUUGUUUUAGUUUGUUUUUCUGAAAAUGUAAUACCAAUGCCACAAGUUUUUUAUUGUGUUUGUUCAUUCAUUCUAGUCUGUACGUAGUCCCUAUAGUUCAUAAGUAUAUAUGUAUGCAUGAAUGGUCUGUACGCAUGCACCCAUAACUUAAUAAUUCAAUUUGAGUAAAGCAUGGAAAAGGUAAAGAAAAAAAAAAGAGUGUUAACAUAAUGAAGCAUGCACCUUAUGGUUAGAGACACGCUUGACUGAAACUUGUUUGGGUCAGUCGACUGGCCCAAAUCUUUUUCAGUCAGUUGACUUGUAGCCGGUCCCAAAUCCACAAGCCGAACAACAACAAUCAAGAAAAAGGAACAAAAACGAAAACCUGAGGCCGCAAGCCUUGCGACAGUAACUUUAUCAGAAAAGCACAAACACACCGAGGAAAAACAAACUCAAAACGGAGGGCCCGGCCGCCGCCGAUGUCAGGUGGGUUUUGCCCCGCGGCGCUUGCUAGCGGCGGCGGGGGGAGGGAGGGUUGGGGAGGAGGAGGUUGCCCAGCGGCUAGGGUUCACCCGGGUCACCCGCUAGGAGGCGGCACGGGCAUCCAGAUGUGAUGUGUGCCUUUUCUUCGAAUACCAAAUGGAUCGCUGAAUACACCAUGAGUUAUAUUUUCAUGUUGUAUAUGUUUGAUAUUGUAGAUAUUCAUAAUUUUCUCUAUAAGCGGUCAAGGUUUGCUAACUUUGACUUUCGAGAAAAAUCUAUAUGCACUACAUUUUGGAACAGAGAAAGUAAUAGAAAUCAAAGAAAAGAUGGCCGAAAAAGAAAUGUUAGAUGUGGCGUGAAAAAGGCGUUUUUGAAUCCACAAAAUGUAUUCCGUCGACUUAUCAUCUGCCUUGGUUGCUGAGAAUUUUGCGGUGAAUCCAUUAAACUGAAAGGAGGGAGUAGUUUCCAUCAAGAAACCAUAAGAUAAAAAAAAAGGUGCCAAAUUAGCAGCAAGUUGCGAUGAAUCCAUUGAACUGCCUCCGCAGGCGAGGUACUGGAGAGAGCUCCGCCACUGCCUGACACAAAUACUGGAUCAGCUGUAAAUGAAGAGUACAAGAACCAAUGUUUUGCUAACUCCAUGAGUUCCAACUUCCAAGGGGAUGUUCAAAUUAAAUUCCUCACAGCAACUGAUUGACACAUCAAAAAUUUCAUAAUUCACUACAGACCGAUAAAAUUUAGAAAGAUACAACGUGGGCUGCUCAAGAACACAACACAAAAAUUCCAUAAUUCAUUACAGACCGAUACAGAAAAGUUUUGCCCGCAAAGAUACAUCACACUGGUCUCAUAUCUCCUCCAAUGUUCAGCAGCCGCCUUGCAGUCUCAGUUCUGCAUUGGUGCAAUUGUUCCUCGGCUGACCCAUGACGCCACAGGCCUUCAAGACUGUUUCGGAACAUCCCCACGAUCCGCACUGGUUCUCCUCUUGCGGCCCUGCAAAUGCACAAAUUGUGCAGUCUGGCCAGCUUACUCAAACCUUCAUAUGGCACCUCCUUUGCUUGUUGUAGGCCACCCCGUAGCAAUAAUCGUAUAAGAGCCGGGCACUCACAACGGCAUGACCUCAGGGAUGUUCCUGAGAUUUUGGGGGCCCGGGGCGAAACCAGGGCCGGUCCUGAAAUUUCAGAACGUAGAAUCCGGGGCCCUUAAUGUGCAGAAAAAUCAUGAGUGAAGGGAUAUGUCCAAGGGUGAUAUCUAUGGUUUUGAGGUGUCCUUGUUACCAAUGAUAACCCUAGUAGUCAUAUUAUCGUCGGGGCAAGCGGUGUCCUCACAAGCCAUCAUGAAUUUGUUGGUAGAGCAUUUCCAAAUAAUAUAUGAGGUAUUGAUCCUACAUUGUUGCAAAAUCAUAGCAAUGCAACUGAAUCAACUAUACGGUCUCAGAUGUAUUACCCUCCGUCCGGAAGUACUUACCCCAAAAAAUGGUAAAAAUGGAUGUAUCUAGAACUAAAAUAUGUCUAAAUACAUUCAUUUUCCCGACAAGCACUCCCUCAUUUCCAAAAUAAGUGUUCUAACCUUAGUAUAACUUAUGCAAAACAUGGUUAAAAUCCAAGUUAAAUUCAUGUUUUGGAAUUCUAAGAACUCUACAGAAAUAUGGUAUGUUUGGAAGUGACUUCAGAGUUCAGACACAGGUUGUACAAGUCAAGAUGGAAACGACGAUGGACGACUCGUGGAUAAACAGUAAUGGAGGCACUAGCAGCCAUGUUGCAUCUUUCUUCACCAGGUUCCCCUAAGAAGGUGUAGUCAUAUACAGUAUAGUCGUGCUUCAGACAUGUAGUAAAAGCUAGUACUAGUACUACAAUUAUACUGCUGAUUUUAUUUGCAACAACACCAAGGCAAGGCAGAUGUGAUGACGAGAGAAGCUAGCUGGGGUAGGGGACAGUUGGCGGUGGUGGUAUUGAAGGUUUCAAUGUAUUCUCCCUCUGCACAGGUCAGUUGCCGACAUUUCCAAAUUAAGCUAAGCUCACGCAAGUAGCCCCAAAACGGCAAUACCGUUUAGGGUUUAGGAUGCCGUGCAGUUGCAGACCCGAAUUUUUGGGACAGCGCCAAAUGCUCUACUACAAGUGUUCAUAUAUAUAUACAAAUAAAAUGGCACGACGUUUCAAGUGCUCAGUGCGUGUAUGUGUGUUGUAUCCCCUGCCGACAUAACUAGGUUCGUAGUAUUCAGUAUGGUUACUUUCAGUUUCAGUUGUUGAAGGCAUUGCAGACACUAAUCAAGUGUAACUAAUACCUUCUUGAUAUUAAAUAAUUAUAUUAAUAAUUUUUCAUCAAAAAUAAACUAAUAGACAGAAUAUUUCUGCUCGUAGCUAGACAGCUAAGACAGGGCCAGGUGCCAUGCUCGCUUGGUGGGCCCCAUCCACGUCACCUGGUCGGUUUGCCAAUCUCACCGACCACAUACUGACCAUGCUCCACUUCACUAGUACUUAACUAAUUACUGCUACUACUAUAUAUACUUACUUAGCCAGAGCCGAGGGAGAGAUUAGCGCGAUAGCUCUUUCAUAAUCUAUUGAGAUAGCUCUUUCAUAGACCUAGCUAGUUGUAUUCCUCAUGGAUGGUGCUACUUACAGUGUAGUGCAGGGUAGGUUACUUGACGGCGGGUGUUUGCGGGCGCGGCAUCAUCAAGAUUCACAUCCAUCCCAUCCACGCAUCCUUCGGUUCGUUUCCAAAACGAAACGAUCGACAAUGCGUUGGAUGGAUAUAUAUAGAUGUGCAUGAGAAUCUUGAUGAUGCUGCGGCGGCACACAAGCGCCUUGGCCUUGGCAGGCAUUGCCUUCUUCAUCUUCUUCAUGUAUGACAUGAUCAGGUGAGACAUCUAUCAUCCCGUCCAUACGUCUCCUGCCAUAUCUAUGGCAGUCUACUCUAGCUCUGAUUCACUCUGUUUGUUUCUAUUCUAUACCACUUACCGCCCUUCUAAAUAUGCUUAUGCACUUUCCGCUGCUGGUCGAUUUCGUACCAUCUCGUAUAAUAUGGUCCCACUUUAUAUAUAGAUAGAAAGAUAAAAUUUGUGAUGUGUAUAAUGUACUGGACAGGCGGCAUUGGUGAAGCGGAAUGUCAGUACCUUGGGAGCUUCUCCGUGAGACCGCCACGCUCCAUCUUGGCAAGGCAAGCAUUUUCUCCUUACUCUGAGCCUACCGUGCCGGCUUGGCGGACCAGAGGAGUCCCAAGUUCCCAAUUGUACUGCUUCAUUUGUUGCUACUCUUCCAGUCCACAUCGUGUUUGGGCAUACUGCUCGAAGUUUCCCGUGUGGUACAGCUUAAGCUUCUUGUUCUGCGUAUGGAUAAUGUUCAUACAUACUCCGUUCAGAAAGUCCUGCCAGUGUGAUGUCACAGCAAGUAUACGCUCCAAUUUCUUCAGUGUUUCUUCCAACCGCACACACAUGCCUCGAGAUCUGCAAACGUAGCCAAAAAAUUGCAAGCGGUAUUAGUUCACAAAAGCAUUGUUGUUGUUGUUGUUUUUUGCUUCACAAAUUGUUUACCGGGGGUACUGUAUCUCAGUCAGCGUCAACUCAAACAUGUCUCGGUUCAGAGAAAACAGACGACGCAUAGCAAGAAAGCAAUAAUCAUGCUACUUUAUUUACAAAAGUUCCCCAGAAUGAUAAAAAAAAUAUUUACCUCAGUGGAAGAUGAGAACAUGAAGGGAUAAAAAUAAAUACUUAUCUCAGUGGAAGAUGAGAACAUGAAAAAGGCCCUUCAGUCGAAACAAAGAAACCUGCCAACACUAACUGCCAAUCAGCACAAGUAAAUCUUGGACAAAUCCAGUCGACCAGAGAUAGAAGCAUGGCAUGGAAUUAAGUUCCACCCUACCAGUUCACCACCACCCAACAAAUUCAGGAAUUCAAACCCAAAUGUGUCGAGAUAUGCAUCGUCAAAACCUGUAACAAACUACAUUCAUGGUGAUAUAUUUGGACCGAAGCCGAAGCAAUGAGCCAAUGACUUUCUCCAUCUUAUGCCAAGUUACAUACGGGGUAGAACCAAACAUUUGCUUACAUAUUUGGAGUAAACACACAGAGAUUGCGUGUGUACAUUGCUGGCAAGAUUACAUUUCCAAUCCAUAUCAUUCAGUCAGAUGUGCUGUUAAGGUGAACCCAACAAGUUCAGAAAACAAAUACAUAUGCAUACUUCUCGCAAUGAUGAUUUCAGAACUGGAACAGGUUACUUUCCAUCAAGAAACCAGAACAGAAAAAGGUACCAAAGUACCAGCAGGCUGCAUGAUGUUCAGAUGGCCAAAGCAAUGACUUUCUCCCUCUAAUGUGAAGUUAUUAUAUAUAGGUGUAGACAGAACCAAACAUUUACUUACAUAUAUGGAUUAAACACAGAUUGGUGCACACUGCUGGCAAGAUUACAUUCUAAUCGACAUUCACAUGUGCUGUUGAGGUGAACCCAACAAGUUCAUCAUGGCUUGAUCAGAUGUAUGAUAGAAAGUUAUCUACUUUACAAAAGACACAAUGAUUCACAGGGUACGUACAGCAGAGCAGAAUGUAUGUAUGGUUUCUCCAAGCUUCAUAUGCUGAGCGCCUGGCAGCUAACAAGUUCGGCAGCCGCAAAUUUCUUUGAGCCCACCAUUCUCCAAACAUCAUUGCCUUGCUCCAAAGGCCAAGAGACAUCGGGGUUUUGGCAUGUCGAGCCAGUUGCAUCCAUAGGCUUUAGAGCGUCCGUUUGCAGGAUGCUGAUCAUGUUGUUCAUAUCUUUGAUGACCAAAUGGAGCUUCCCAAGAAACCCCGCAAGCAAGUACGGACAUUUUGACUCCGCAAAGUCACCAACAGGCACCUGGCCAACAACAGCCUUCCAUGUAUCUUCCUUCGGAUCAUACGUCUUUAUCUUGCCUCCAUCAGAACAAGUCGGUGGCUCCAGAGCAUAUAGGUCCCCAUUCACAACAGCACUUAAUUUUGUCCCUGCUUGCCUCCCAGGCCAACCCUCGCUCAGGCCUACAGGCAUCUCUGACCAUGAGUCCGUCGCGGGAUCAAACACCUCCCCACCAACAUCAACAAAGAACGGCCAGGAAUACAAGCUCUGAGGCACAUACAGCUUGCCUCCAAACGAGACUAUUCCUGUAGCAACCGGCUUCAGUAAGUCGGCCAGGAAUGCAGUCGGCAGAGUUUGUGCUUUGGAGAAGGGCAUGUUUGGCACAUCUGCCCAGAUUCCUGUGGCCGGGUCAAACACUUCAGCAGAUUGAAGCGGAGCCAAUCCAGUUUCUUCCCUAAUGACACCGCCGACAACGUACAGCUUGUUGUUCAACAGGCCAGUCCUGCCAAACGCUCGUGCGGUGCUCAUCGAGCUUACUUCCUGCCACAGAUUUACAGCUGGAUCAUACUUCCACACACUUUUGAUCGCUGUGGCUCUGGAGAACCCGCCCAAAACAUAGAGGCAUCCAUCGAUCGUUCCAACGGCACAAGCACAAAAGGGAAUCUUGUCCAACCAAUCCUCCUGGCGAAGCAAGCCUCUAAUAGCACCAGAGAUCCUAAUCCCAGCGCUCACCAAACCGCCUAAACGGCUCCCCCCACGAGCAACCCCGGGCAUGAGCGGCAGCCUCUGCCACCGGCUGCAAAGCGGAUCAAAAGCAUGCCACGACAGCUUGCCAUCGGCCGCCUUGGUGAGUAUGUAAAUCCAUUCCUCAUCCACGCCAAGCUCCUUCCUCACCCGGUACAGCUCCACACCUGUGAUGGCGGCCUUCCAGCUCCGUGAAACCAUCUUGCUGCUAAGAUACCGCACCCUUGGCAUCCUCGCGAGGAUUUGCAGGGAGAUCUCGUCCGGGAGGUCAGGAAUCAGCCUCGGGUGGUAAUGACCGUGGCGUAGCUUCUUCGAGGAACCUGGCUUCGACGCUUCCCCGUGCUCCAAGGUUUGCUUCCCGUUGUUGGGGAAGCUGAGAGACGCCCCCAUUGCUUCCAACUUCUUGUAUCUACAAAAAGGCCCAAAAGAAAAGCCAAAUAUCAGUGUGGUGUUCACUUUUUUUUUUCGAACCGGGCUUUUGCCCUUUCCAUUACUUUCAUAACGGAAAUACAAUGUCUCAGGAACUGAAACAUGUGGUGUUCACUUAUAGGCAGCUCCAUGUCUACCUUGUAAAUUUGUACUCCAUCUCUGAAUUCUGAUGGUGGACAACAAUUCAAUCAAACUUGCAAAGGGAACUAGAAUUUUUACUACUUGAGCAGAUGUAAGUUUCGACCAUCUUAGCAUGCGAGAGACCAUGGGGAUCUUGGGGAGGAACCAAGCAGGAGUGGCUAUUGUUCUAUCACAUUCACAGCUAGCUAAGAGUCAAGGAAACAGCCGAAUCCCCUAACUGCAAGAAAACAUCGCCCUAACGAGGAAUCGGCCACGGUUAGUUCCUUUAACUUGACAACAAGAUUAACACGCAAGAGAUUCGUCAUUCCAACAACCAAAACGGGCUCAAAUUCAUGCCGUACGACAGAAAGACUGAAUAAAAAUACACUGGUCCCGCCCCGCGCAUACAGUUUUACCUGGCUGUUUACUGCUGCUGCGCUGCAGGGGCGCCGCCGGUGGAGAGGGAGAGGCCGAGGCCGAGGACGGCGUGGGCCUUGAGGUGGGCUUGCGGCCUGGUGAGGUCGCCGAGGCGGUAGUCCUCCGCGGCGGCGAGGCUAGGGUUCGGGGAGACGGCGGGGAUGGGGCGGUGGGGAGGAGCGGGUAGGGGGGAGGCCGCGGGAGAAGAGAGGAGGAGGAGGCGGGCGGGGGCGCAGCUUCGGGGCUGGAGCAUGGCGGCGCGACGGCGACGGCGCCGGCGGCGAGCGCGGAGGAGUCGUGUGGGAGUUGCGUGGCUCUGCUUCGACCUCGAUGGUGACCAAGUAACCGUCGACUUAUUUACUUAUCUAUUAGUACUACUAUUUUGGGAGCUUUUUCUCCCUUUCUCUUUCUUUCUUCAUUACUAUUAUUCUCCUUCCAAUAAAAUAAAAUGUUUCUUCCCUUUUCCAUGUUAAGCGAAACGGCAACCAUGUAAAUUCUAUAAGGAAAUGUCCCUCCCGUCAAAUCUCACGCCAGAUAGGGGUUCAGCUCGGAUCGGCCUCCCAGCCCGUGAAGAUAGAGGUUGGGGGAGAAGAUUUACCGCGCCCCGUAAAAAAAUUUGCAGGCCGGGGCGGAAUGCGGGGUCUGAUCGGGCUGCUUUUUCGGUCCCGACCCGCAAUUUGACGGUUAUUUUGCGGGCCGGGCGGGAUGCGGUGGGUGCUAGAGUUGCUUUUAGGACGGUUUUGUUUGGGAAAAGGGGGAAGACGGCGUGAGAAGCUUCAGCCCUCUGAUGAUUGAGAUGGCCAUGCACGCACACCCUAUUUCUGUGAAACAUCCAACCGAUCCGAGUCGGUGAACAUUGGGAUUGUACCGUAGGCUAGAACGAGUCCAGAAAAAGACUUGAAGAGCUUCAUGACAGAAAGCCUAAUAAGCAACUAAAGAUGUAAAAGAAACGCUUUUGUAUUCUGGGACCGUGGGAGUAGCUAGUUGACGUGAAAAUACGAAUUAGCGGUCUUAGGGCGAUUUUGUUGUUUGGGGAACGGGGAAGAUGGCGGCACCCCGGCCCUUUGAUGAUUGAGAUGGUCAUGUACGCUCAGAGCAUUUCUAGCAGACCCGCAUGACCUCAGUCUGACUGUUGGAAUCCUUCGUCGGGAUUCAUCACCGCAUGCUGGAAAAGGCCGCUAGAUACCGCAAUCGAUCGCUGCCGGUUUGAAUUGGAUAAGCUCGAAGGCGAUCGCUGCCGGUUUGAAUUGGAGGUUUGAAUUGGAUAAGCUCGAAGGCGACGGGGCGUGGCCGGCUAAGGGAAGGGGCGGCAGCAGCUGGACUGGAGGAAAGAGCUCUUUAUCCCAAUUUUCCAGUUUAUUUUAGAGUAUCUAAUCUACCGUAGAUAAAAUGAACCCUUAAAAUACAAUUUUUUUUAUUUUUUACUCGUAUCUCAGUUUUACAGUUCGCGAUUUUAAGGGGUAUGUUAGAGAUGCUCUCAUCCAUGUCGGCAAAUCUUGAAAUGAAAUGUAUCUAGAUGUAUAGAUGUAUUUUUGUUGUAGAUACAUCCAUUUUUGUGACAAGUAAUUCCAAACGGAGGGAGUACCUACUAUGUGCAGUAGGCAUCUCAAGGUGUUCAGACUCCAAUGUGUAAACCCGAAGAAAAGAAGGAAAUAUUCAUCAAUGGCCGCCACCACCACCUGACCUGUUCCUUCAACUCAGAGAAAUGGCAUUCUCGAAUCAGCUCAAAAGGAGGCGGGUAACCAAAUCAUUUAACGGUAGAGCACGUUCAUGUCCUGUUUUAACCUCAAACACUUCUUCCAUGUCUUCAGCCUUUAGGGCUAGAUAAGCGUCGCACCGGUUCUCGCGGCGGCGACGAUAUGCAGGAUAACAAUAAAGAUAGCAUGUUCCACGGCACAUCCCUAAAAAUUUAACUCCGCUACAAAAUUCAGUCUAGAGAAAGUUCAAAAUCACGAAGACGACGACGACAGACAGACACAAACACGAUGAAACAAACACGGCAGGCAGAAACACGGCUUCUGGUGGGCGGGACGGUUUCCGGCUCUCUACUCCUCCUUGAUGGCGCCCUUGUCGCUGACGUAGAUGCCGUCCAAGAACUUCCUGAUAUCCUUGUUCUUGACAUGGCAUUUCUGCAGAAAAGCAAGAAAAGGAACACUAGUGUUAGUGGUAAUGAAUAGAGGACUGAAAGCAACUGGAAACUGCAAUGCACGGCAGAUAUAUGUUGUGCAAGUGAGAUGAAUAGAUCACUGCAAACAGAUGUGGAACAGCAAUGCAUGUCUCAGCAACCGUCCAAGAUGAAAAUUGCUUGAAUAAUUCAAGUGGAACAGACCUAAUGCACUGCUACAGGAACCAAAAUGGAAGGGAAACCAACCAUUGUUGCACAUAUGAAAGAACCUGUUAACAAGUCAUUUUGGUUACUAUGAUACCAUGAAACAACCGGUAAAAACGAAACCCUAACGGAUGAACUGGGUCAAUAAGCACAUGUCAGACCCAGGUUAGUCCAUUUCCACCAUGUUUAUACAAAAAUCAAACAGAUGAUACAUCUGGCUAUAAAUUUUCUGCUGCUACUGGAUGCAUAGCGUCUGGGCAGAUUAUCGUAAUUCCUACUUCACAUCAUUAAGAACACAUGAGCUUGCAUGAUAUAACUACAAACAGCCUAAUAACACUAGAAACUCCACAAGAUGGCCGCUGCGAAUAGAAAUGGCCAAUAAUGGGAUGGGCAGCACAGGUAACCCUGUUUGCAACAAGCUGGACAGCACAAGCAGACAUUUGCACUCACAGUAAACAGAGGGCACAGUGUCACUCACAAGCAAUAAACCACAAUGAUUCCUAAGCACAUCUAUCUAUCAUACUAGUUUCCCCCAAUGAUCCAUGAUCCACAACUCUGACGCGAGUUUGUUUUCAGAUCAACCAAAUUAUUCAGGCAGCAUCAUUAUGCACAUGAGCAAAGAAAGAAAGGGGCCGGAUCCUGUUUGAUUGAUUGAUUGAUUCACCUGGUUGAUGAGGGCGGCGGAGCGGGAGACGAGCUCGAUGUCGUUGCCGUCGAGGACGAUCUCGUCCUUGACCUUCUCGGACCGCAGGAUGGUGACCCCGUCGAGCAUGUCCACCUUCCUCACCUGCAACCCAAAUCAUCACAUCAGAAACACACCCAAUCAUCUCGACGGAAAAGCGAGAUCUGCGCGUCGAAUCCGCGACAGAGUGGGGUAAAAGAAAAGCGGCGGCUACCUUCUUCUCGCCGAGGAAGUUCCUGAUCUCGAUGCCGCGGUUGGCGGCGGUGAUGGAGGCGUUGAUGGGGAAGUGAGCAUACACGAAGCGCAUCUUGUAGCGGAAGCCCUUGGUGACCCCCGUGAUGAGGUUCUGGACGUGGGAGAUGGCGGUGCGGAUGGCGGCCAUGGUCUUGCGGGUGCCGAACCAGGCGUCCACCUUGAGCCUCCGCCCGCCCUCCUGCAGCUGGAAGUCGAGGUUGAGGUGCUUGAAGUUGCGGGUCAGCGUGCCCCGGGGACCCGUCACCGAGAUCAUCUUCGCCGACACCUUCACCGUCACCUCCUCCGGGAUCUCCAUCGUCUCCGACGCCAGGAUCGUCUUCAUCUUCGCCGGCCGGUGAUGGGUGCUGGGGGCUGGUUGCUUGGCGGCGGCGGCGGCGGCGGGGGAGGGGGCGAGGGUUUGGGGAGAGAGGGUGGGGUGGGGGGACUGAGGGUCACGUGUUUAUAGCCUGGGCUCUCGCUUCGGUUGCUGGGCCGGGCUUCUCUCGGCUCUCGGCUGGGCUGCACACGGCAGCACCACGGCCUUCUGAAAGAGCCCUAAAAAAAGUUCUUCCCCUGAAAAAGGCCCUCAGUACUUUUCAUUUUGUUUUUUUUGAAAGCGAAAGUUUUUACAGAAGUACAGACGAUCCUCCGUGAACAAAGAGUUACAUCCAGGAUUUCUGAAGCCGUCGUCGUCUCGUGUUCAUCAUUUUGUAACUACUCAUGUGCCGAGGCUUCCUCGGAUGAGACUUUCUCGGAUGAGAUUGAGAGUGCAACCAUGCUCUCCUGAUAUGAUAUGGUAUGAUCAUGGUAUUUGUAAUUCUAUGAAAAGGUCAAAAUGUAGGUACGAAAGAAAUAAAUAAACAAACUUGGGUAAAUUUUGCUCAACUCAUAGAUGAUCAAAACUUUCCAAAUUCCACAUGCGUCUGUGGUCAUGUGUCCACCACACAUAUGUUUAUUAUCCACUUUAAAUAAAUAUAUAGAGAUGAAUAACAAAACUGACCAUGAUGAAAAUUUAACUGACCAUGGUUAUUAGCAAACUUAGCUGACCAUGGUUUAUUAUCCACACAUGUUUAUAGGAAACUUAACUGACCAUUGCUAAAAACAACUUGAUUAAUCAUCCAAGUAAAACCAUGAUGAAUAACAAAAAAAAUAACUCCGUUGGUCAGAAACCAGAGCUUCAGAACACCCCCAGACUUUUAGCCGAUCAUGUGCGCAGCAGACCACCCAAAAAAAUGGGGUUCUCAUAUCUGAAUCUGGACAUAUAUCGAGCAUAUGUCAUUCGGUGGAAGCAACACAGGAUGCAGAGAAAAUGGUGAGUGACCGAGCAGAUUAUGGACAAUUUCGAAAAUCGCAAGUAGCGACCAGUAAGAAAAGAAAAAAAGUUUAUGCGACUAACAUGUGUCGUUGGAUGAUUUAUCUAUCUGCACAAUCGGCUUCAGUAAGCCCAAGGUAAUCAAUUCCGACUGAAGCAGCACGAUGAUCUGAUCUAUCUUUACAGGAUCUGUAACUACUUCAGGUCUUGCAUAUGAAACUUCCAAGCCUUACGAAACAGACUAACUUCGGGAACGCAUCCAAGCUGUUCGGUACCAAACCGUCGGUUCCACUCAAAAGACUAGAGUAAAAUGAACCAUCACCGGUCGUGGAUUCAGGCUGAAAGUAAACCAUUUAUAAAAAAACCUAUCAACAAUUACGUGCAAGAGAAAGCAAAGCAAAGCAUCUCAAAGAUAUCGAUGUUUGUCUGUUAUAAUAAGGCCCUAAAUCUAAAUGGUACCGUCGACGACACAUCAGGCUUCACAUCAUCAUCAUCAUUGCCCAGGCCUGGUGGUGUCUGAGGGGGCCUUGGUCCCUCUUUCGUGCCUUCGGUAGAGCGCUGCACAAGGAGAAGGCUGCUGAUUAGCAACAGUGUUGGGUGGAAAACACAGCACUGGUAGAACAAGGGAGCAUCAGCAGCUACCUGGUAGCCAGUGUUGCUGGUGGUCGCCGUCUGUACCGGAUUCAGCAAUGGAACCAAGGAUAGUUGAGGUAAUAAUAGCACUGCUGUUGCCAGGGCCACAAGAGGGCACCCUGGAUAAAUUUUGAUUCCGGGGAGGAGGGAAUGCAUGGCAGGUUUCAUCUGCUUCCCAGGGGGAUGGAUUUGACACCUUUGGCUGGUUGCUUGUUUGCUGGCGAGCAAUCAAGGAAGCAAUGGCAGCAUCGAAUGAAUCGCACGUGGCAGGAAUCUGCUGCUGGAAAAUCGAGCUGUUUUGCAAAGGCGGUUGCUUGCUGUCUUGAGAGGGCACAGCCUGCGAUAGCAGUGCUCCAAAACUGAUAUUGGAUAUGCUGUCAAUCCAUGAAAGCGGUGUCGCUUUGCUUUGGUUGUUAUCCUAAUUUUGGAAACAUACAAAGAAAUUCAGAUCAAGUUUCCAGUACAAAUAAAAUCAUUAUUGCAAGAAGCACAUGAAAUUUACUCACCACCACGGUCUUCUCUGUGUUACACUCAACGGAUGGACUGGCAAAUUUACUUGGAAACUCAAAAGGAUGUGAAGGUUUGUCGCCCAAAGUCUUUUCUGCAGAGUGCACUGGUGCCAAGGAAGCUUCACUGGUUUGUUGCUUCAAAUUAGGCUUGAACCAACCAUACCUAAAGUAAACAAAUGAUAAUUAUCUGAAUUUUCUCGUAUUCCCUUGAUUUUCAUAGAAUCUUCUAAAACUUAACCAUCGUUGCUAAUUUCUUCUAUGAAAUGUUGUUAAUAAAUACAAAAUCAUGAUAAUCUGAAAGUACCUUAAAUUAAUCUAGUGGGCAUUAAAAAAAGAGCCAUUCAUAUAUGUAGAUCACAAUAAAGGUAACCAUUUCUGGGUAAGAAAUUGAACCUUAAACGGAAUGUUGAAGGGCUGCCAACAGCAACAUAAACAUCAGCAGCAGUGCAAGAAUCAUUAAGGGUCCAUUUUUUACUGCUGGCUAUGCUAUCCGGUCUAGCACUGUAUGGGAAGAGCAUGAGGUCGCCUUUUGCACAACUAGAACGGCCCCAUUUUGUGUUCAGAUGUUGCACAAUUGAGGACAUCUUCUUUCGCGGAGCCAAAGUCAACUCCAGGUAAGGAUUGUGUUUCUCCUGUUACAUAAUGGAGGGAUAAACCAAAAGAAGGCAAGAAACGUCAGCUUGAAAGAACAUCAUAUGCAGUAAUUAUAUGCAUCUCUCUUGCAAAAAAUGAGAUAAUCACCUGCUGUAGAACCUUUUGAAUCGCCUCAUCUAUUGGAAAAAACUGAAGCUUCAUUUUUCCAGAAUAAUUUGGCGGUUGAGCAGACACGUUUGUCAAGUUGAGAAAUGGUACUUCCAUAGAGCUACCACUCUUCAAUGCAAUCUUACUGCCAGUAAAUGAUUGACCAUCUCCUGUUCUGCAUUUAGCCCCAACAUUGCCUGAAAAUUAAUAUGGUUAUUAAGAACCUGAAAGGACAUAUGGUCGUUACAGUUCAAAAAUAUAGCUCCUAACAAGCAUUUAUUUUUCUACUUCAGUUGUUGAUUCACCUGAUAUGAAGUUCAGUACAAAUGCAGUACUAAAAGAAAUUAAGAACAGGGCACCAACGCAUCACCUGGUGAUUUGUGGGUAUAUUUGCCUGGCUUCAGGCAAUGCAUCUUAUUAACACCAAGUUUGACGUUUGCUUCUGUGUCAGUUGGUUUACGGUGCUGCUGAGGAGCUUUCAUGAUUCCCUGAUAUUCGUCGGCAGUAGCACUAUCUAUCAGGUUCAAUAUUGAUCCAGCCGUAGAAGACUUCCACCUUUCCUGCAGGUAUUAAACUGUGGAACCGGUUAUCGAAUCUAACAACUCUUCAUCUUUUGGUAAACAGCAAACACAACAUCUGUAUCAGAUCAGAAAAUUUGUGUGUAUCGAACUAAUGAAAUAAACACAUUUUAAUUUGAUUUAGCGAGAAUUCCUUUUGUUGCAUCUGAUAAUCAGUAUGAUGAUGAAUCAACACAAACUUGUAAACAGAAGUGAAAACCCCACCGUUUUUUAUGCAUUUAUACACCAAAACAGAAGGAUAAUAUUUGUUCAGCUUGGGGUUAAAAGAAAUUGCUCCCAAGAAUUUCAGGUCACAAGUUCAGAAUUGGAUUGGCAAUAGUAAACCUAGCAACUUAUCCCUAAUUGCGAUCGCCACGAAGCACACGGUUAUGCAACAACAAGAUACGCACAAGCUCCCCCCGGGUGGCGACGAAUUCGUUCCCGCGCCGGAACCAGGGGAGAAAAUUGAUGAUAAAUAGCAGAGCACACACCCGCCCUCUCAUCCACAUGAACGGGACUACGGAAGAACCAUUCUCUCUUUUUCAGUAACAAGACUAUUGUACUUGGUUACAUACAUGCUACCCUCGAUUGACCAGACUCAUACACCAGAACCGCACGCGUCAUUCCUAUUCAAGAAUCCAUCCACAAAUCGAGCAGAAACUGAGGAUCUCACAAACAAAAUCCGUUCACGCAUCGCGUCAAUCCCCUCGACACUCCGCAUGAACCCAGGCCUGAAUCCCCUCGAACCCUCAGGCCAAUCCCCCUCCGCCAACUAAUUAUUGAUUAACCUAGCUAGGGUUUCCACGGUCAAACCGAGUAGCAGAGGAAUCAAGCCGGAAUCGCGGGAGUGGGAGAGGGUUUACCCUUUCCCUGGCGCAGCGCGCUGGAGGGCCGCGACCGGGGGCACUGCGGGGAGGAACCGGCGGGAUCCAGGAGCAGAGCUCCUCUCGUCGCGGGCGCGGUUCGGGGGGAAGAAUGAUACGGAUCGAUGUGCCGCUCCCUUCCCGCCUGGGUGCGGUUUGGGGCGGGGCGGGGCGGCGCCGGGUGGCGGGGGAGACGGGGAGGAGGAGGCGGCGGCGGCGGCGUCCGGCACGGUGGUGGUCGCCGGAGAGGAGGGCGGGCGGGGGGGGAGGGUGAGGGUCGUGGGGCCUGGCUUUGGGUUAGUCCUAUCUCCUCCUCCUCCUCCUCCUCCUUGUUGCAGGCGACGCUGAAGCGACCGCCAAUGGCCCGGCCCAGUUCUGACGCGAGUUUGUUUUCAAUUCAUUUUCUCUUUUAUUUUAUUUUAUUUUUCUUAUUUUUUAAAGAUGUUCCGAAUUUCAGAAAACGUUCGGCAUUUCAAGAAAAGCGUAUGGUGAAUUUUAACAAUUAUCCUGGGUUUCAAGAGACUGUUCCGGAAUUAAAGGAAAUGUUCAAAUUUUUCAAAAAGUGUUUCACAUUUUUUUUAAAAUGUUACGAAUUUUGUAAAAUGCUUAUGAAUUUGAAAACGGAUGUAUGGCGUGUACAGAAAAACAUGUCGGUCGUAUACUAAAUAAAGUUCAUUAUAUGUUACGGAAAUAGUUCAUUGCGUGUUAAAAGCAUGUUCAACGUGUGUUAAAAACAUCAUCGUCCAUUGGAGAAUUGUUUGCCUUGUAUUAAAUUUUUGAAGAAAAAAAUGGAAAACAUCAGAUUAAAGAAAAAUAGGACUUUUUUUGAAACGUGAACAUCUCCUCUCCCCUAUCUUGGAAAACGGGUAGUGUUCCCAUGCCGCUUCAUCUUUUGUCUGACCUCCACCUUGGUACUCCCCUCCUCCCAUCAUUCUUCCCCCACACCUAUUUUUUCCCUCCCACCUGAUUCUUUUCCUAACUUUGUUUUGAUUAUUUGCUUUUCUGGUUUCCUUCUUUCUGCUUCUGCCUUCUCGAUUUUCUUUCGUCCCUAAAAUCCCCCGACACCCAUCCCACGUCGUCUCCUCCUGUGCCUGGACGCCCGCCUGCCUCACGCGCUUGUAAGUCAACAUCCCAUCUCUCGUACACGACACCAGCGUGUUCGUCGGCCUCCACUCAAGCACGCCAAUCUGUGACGUCUCCGAUGGCGAUGCCCAUGGCGUUAGGUCACGCUCGGCUCCAACCGCGCACGCCGACAGCACCAAACGGCGCCCUCGGCAAGGAAUCCAUGGGCUUUCCCACCCCCUGCGGGAUUCUUCAUAUCAUCUGUGUCAGGGCGUCAUCAUCGCAAGAGGUCCUGGUAAGAUCAUUCCCAUUUUCUUUGAUAUACUAUGUUUCUUAGCUAAUGUACUCCUAGCAUGGAUCAUGAUCGUCCGGUUAACAAAGAUUUGACCAUCUCGUAAUAGUAGCUGAUAUAUACACUACAUCAGUUUGCAUGAGAACAAGAUUGUCUGUCCAUGUCUUUAGUACUUUGUCUAGUUUUAAAUGUUCACUUUAUCGACUUAUUAUUAGAAGGCAUGUACUAAUAAAAGAAACCAUGCAUCCUUGGCUUGAUUAAAUGUGUGUUUGCUAAUUUAUAUUUAAAGUUUUCUUUGUUUUAUCUUAUUACUCCAUAGCUAAUUAUAUUUUGGAAUCUUAUGGGUGCAAAGGACUUUCACAAUAAGAAGGUGCUAACUUUUUCGCGGGAAAAAUAUUAAAACUAAAAGGAAAUUGCAAUUCCGAGAUUCUUUAGUGUUCUGGGUAACAAUAUGUUCCAAACAGACUGGCAUUGCUAAAUGAGAUAGCAUAUGGUUCAGGAAAAAACACAUUCAUCACUUCAUUUGACAUAUUCAGUCAAGUAAGAAAAUUCUGGAAUCCAAGACAGAAUAGAAACUAUUGUACUUCCGAAUACACAUUUAUUUGCCAACAAGAAACUAUCUAUCACAUGCAGGUUUGUUUGCUCCCCGGAGCAUGGCAAUAUGAGAUGCUCUUAUAUAAACAUGAUCUUGCUUACAAUGUUAAUUCAAAAUGUUACUCCAAGACCAGAUCUUGCUUACAAUGUCAUUAUAAUUGUCAGGACUAAUAAACUGCACAUGCACCCCACGCAAGUAGGACAACUUGAUUAGAUCUACAGGUAUAUUUUUAUCACUUCUAGUAACCUCAUUGAUUGUUUACAUGCCAUCAUUUAUACCAAGUAUACAUGAGUGGUAUUUUUCCUAUCAUAGUGCCCAAUUAGGCUGACACAUAUUUUACAUUAGUGCUACUUCGGUCAUCAAGAGCUUUCUCUCCUAUCUAAAAAAGAGUAGUGUUUGAAAGUGCAUCUAAUCCCUAGGUGGUUUUGGUAAUUCAUCACAACAUAUACAUCAUUGAACUAAUGCCUACUCAUAGAAUAUUCCAAGAAAGUUCAAUCUAGGUACAACAAUUGGAUGUGAAUGUGGAUCCCUCAAAAUGCUAAGGACAAGCAUUGACAAAGCUCAAGAAUCUACAUUUCCAUUUAAGUGAUCCAAGAUCACAUUGAGACCAUAGGAAACCAAUACUAUUAAAAGGGGAUGAGCUUUUGUUGAUGCUCUAACUGCUCAAAUGUUAACAACUAGACUCACCAAGAUACACUUGACAUAGGCACUACACAAACCCUAGCAUCUCAGUUUCACCGAGUUGGCCCUGUGGUCCCACCGAAGUGUUGGGGAACGUAGUAAUUUCAAAAAAAUUUCUACGCACACGCAAGAUCAUGGUGAUGCAUAGCAACGAGAGGGGAGAGUGUUCGUCCACGUACCCUCGUAGACCGUAAGCGGAAGCGUUAUGACAACGCGGUUGAUGUAGUCGUACGUCUUCACGAUCCGACCGAUCCAAGCACCGAACGUACGGCACCUCCGAGUUCAGCACACGUUCAGCUCGAUGACGAUCCCCGGGCUCCGAUCCAGCAAAGGUUCGGGGAUGAGUUCCGUCAGCACGACGGCGUGGUGACGAUGAUGAUGUUCUACCGACGCAGGGCUUCGCCUAAACUCCGCGACGAUAUGACCGAGGUGGAAUAUGGUGGAGGGGGGCACCGCACACGGCUAAGGAACGAUCCGUAGAUCAACUUGUGUGUCUAUGGGGUGCCCCCUGCCCCCGUAUAUAAAGGAGGGAGGGGGGAGGCCGGCCGGCCCUUGUUGGGCACGCCAGGAGGAGGAAUCCUCCUCCUAGUAGGAGUAGGACUCCUCCUUUCCUACUCCUACUAGGAGGGGAAGGAAGGGGGAGAGGAGGGGAAGGAAAGAGGGGGGCCCCCCCCCUCCUAGUCCAAUUCGGACCAGAGGGAGAGGGGGCGCGCGGCCCUUCCUGGCCGCCCCUCUCUCUUCCCACCAAGGCCCAUGUGGCCCAUUAACUCUCCAGGAGAGGUUCCGGUAACCCUCCGGCACUCCGGUUUUCUCCGAAAUCACCCGGAACACUUCCGGUGUCCGAAUAUAGUCGUCCAAUAUAUCAAUCUUUAUGUCUCGACCAUUUCGAGACUCCUCGUCAUGUCCGUGAUCACAUCCGGGACUCCGAACAAACUUCAGUACAUCAAAACUUGUAAACUCAUAAUAAAACUGUCAUCGUAACGUUAAGCGUGCGGACCCUACGGGUUCGAGAACUAUGUAGAUAUGACCUAGAACUAUUCUCGGUCAAUAACCAAUAGCGGAACCUGGAUGCCCAUAUUGGUUCCUACAUAUUCUACGAAGAUCUUUAUCGGUCAAACCGCAUAACAACAUACGUUGUUCCCUUUGUCAUCGGUAUGUUACUUGCCCGAGAUUUGAUCGUCGGUAUCCAAUACCUAGUUCAAUCUCGUUACCGGCAAGUCUCUUUACUCGUUCUGUAACACAUCAUCUUAUAACUAACUCAUUAGUUACAAUGCUUGCAAGGCUUAGGUGAUGAGUAUUACCGAGAGGGCCCAGAGAUACCUCUCCGACAAUCGGAGUGACAAAACCUAAUCUCGAAUUAUGCCAACCCAACAUGUACCUUUGGAAACACCUGUAGAGCACCUUUAUAAUCACCCAGUUACGUUGUGACGUUUGGUAGCACACAAAGUGUUCUUCCGGUAAAGGGAGUUGCACAAUCUCAUAGUUGCAGGAACUUUGUAUAAGUCAUGAAGAAAGCAAUAGCAACAUACUAAACGAUCAAGUGCUAGGCUAACGGAAUGGGUCAUGUCAAUCACAUCAUUCUCCUAAUGAUGUGAUCCCAUUAAUCAAAUGACAACACAUGUCUAUGGUUAGGAAACAUAACCAUCUUUGAUUAAUGAGCUAGUCAAGUAGAGGCAUACUAGUGACUUUAUGUUUGUCUAUGUAUACACACGUGUAUCAUGUUUCCGGUUAAUACAAUUCUAGCAUGAAUAAUAAACAUUUAUCAUGAUAUGAGGAAAUAAAUAAUAACUUUAUUAUUGCCUCUAGGGCAUAUUUCCUUCAGUCUCCCACUUGCACUAGAGUCAAUAAUCUAGAUUACAUAGUAAUGAUUCUAACACCCAUGGAGUCUUGGUGCUGAUCAUGUUUUGCUCGUGAGAGAGGCUUAGUCAACGGGUCUGCAACAUUCAGAUCCGUAUGUAUCUUGCAAAUCUCUAUGUCUCCCACUUGGACUUGGUCCCGAAUGGAAUUGAAGUGUCUCUUGAUGUGCUUGGUCCUCUUGUGAAAUCUGGAUUCCUUUGCCAAGGCAAUUGCACCAGUAUUGUCACAGAAGAUCUUCAUUGGUCCCGAUGCACUAGGUAUGACACCUAGAUCGGAAAUGAACUCCUUCAUCCAGGCUCCUUCAUUUGCUGCUUCCGAAGCAGCUAUGUACUCCGCUUCACAUGUAGAUCCCGCUACGACGCUUUGUUUAGAACUGCACCAACUUACAGCUCCACCGUUUAAUAAAAACACGUAUCCGGUUUGCGAUUUAGAAUCGUUCGGAUCAGUGUCAAAGCUUGCAUCGACGUAACCGUUUACGACUAGCUCUUUAUCACCUCCAUAUACGAGAAACAUAUCCUUAGUCCUUUUCAGGUAUUUCAGGAUGUUCUUGACCGCUGUCCAGUGAUCCACUCCUGGAUUACUUUGAUACCUUCCUGCCAAGCUUAUUGCUAAGCAUAUGUCAGGUCUGGUACACAGCAUUGCAUACAUGAUAGAGCUUAUGGCUGAAGCAUAGGGAACAUUUUUCAUUUUCUCUCUAUCUUCUGCUGUGGUCGGGCAUUGAGUUUGACUCAACUUCACACCUUGUAGCACAGGCAAGAAUCCUUUCUUUGCCUGAUCCAUUUUGAACUUUUUCAAAAUUUUGUCAAGGUAUGUGCUUUGUGAAAGUCUUAUUAAGCGUCUUGAUCUAUCUCUAUAGAUCUUGAUGCCCAAUAUGUAAGCAGUUUCACCGAGGUCUUUCAUUGAAAAACUUUUAUUCAAGUAUACUUUUAUGCUAUCCAGAAAUUCUAUAUCAUUUCCAAUUAAUAAUAUGUCAUCUACAUAUAAAAUUAGAAAUGCUACAGAGCUCCCACUCACUUUCUUGUAAAUACAGGCUUCUCCAAAAGUCUGUAUAAAACCAUAUGCUUUGAUCACACUAUCAAAGCGUUUAUUCCAACUCCGAGAUGCUUGCACCAGUCCAUAAAUGGAACGCUGGAGCUUGCACACUUUGUCAGCACCUUUUGGAUCAACAAAACCUUCUGGCUGCAUCAUAUACAACUCUUCUUCUAGAAAUCCAUUCAAGAAUGCAGUCUUGACAUCCAUUUGCCAAAUUUCAUAAUCAUGAAAUGCAGCAAUAGCUAACAUGAUUCGGACGGACUUAAGCAUCGCUACGGGUGAGAAAGUCUCAUCGUAGUCAACCCCUUGAACUUGUCGAAAACCUUUUGCAACAAGUCGAGCUUUAUAGACAGUUAUAUUACCAUCAGCGUCAGUCUUCUUCUUAAAGAUCCAUUUAUUCUCAAUGGCUUGCCGAUCAUCGGGCAAGUCAACCAAAGUCCAUACUUUGUUUUCAUACAUGGAUCCCAUCUCAGAUUUCAUGGCUUCUAGCCAUUUUGCGGAAUCCGGGCUCAUCAUCGCUUCCUCAUAGUUCGUAGGUUCAUCAUGGUCAAGUAACAUGACUUCCAGAGUAGGAUUACCGUACCAUUCUGGUGCGGAUCUUACUCUGGUAGACCUACGAGGUUCAGUAGAAACUUGAUCUGAAGUUUCAUGAUCAUUAUCAUUAGCUUCCUCACUAAUUGGUGUAGUUGUCACAGGAACUAAUUCUCGUGAUGAACUACUUUCCAAUAAGGGAGUAGAUACAGUUAUCUCAUCAAGUUCUACUUUCCUCCCACUCACUUCUUUCGAGAGAAACUCCUUUUCUAGAAAGGAUCCAUUCUUAGCAACGAAUGUCUUGCCUUCGGAUCUGUGAUAGAAGGUGUACCCAAUAGUCUCUUUUGGGUAUCCUAUGAAGACACAUUUCUCCGAUUUAGGUUCGAGCUUAUCUGGUUGAAGUUUCUUCACAUAAGCAUCGCAGCCCCAAACUUUAAGAAAUGACAACUUUGGUUUCUUGCCAAACCACAGUUCAUAAGGCGUCGUUUCAACGGAUUUUGAUGGUGCCCUAUUUAACGUGAAUGCGGCCGUCUCUAAAGCAUAACCCCAAAACGAUAGCGGUAAAUCAGUAAGAGACAUCAUAGAUCGCACUAUAUCAAUUAAAGUAUGAUUACGACGUUCGGACACACCAUUUCGUUGUGGUGUUCCAGGUGGCGUGAGUUGCGAAACUAUUCCACAUUGUUUCAAGUGUAGGCCAAACUCAUAACUCAAAUACUCUCCUCCAUGAUCAGAUCGUAGAAACUUUAUUUUCUUGUUACGAUGAUUUUCCACUUCACUCUGAAAUUCUUUGAACUUUUCAAAUGUUUCAGACUUGUGUUUCGUCAAGUAGAUAUACCCAUAUCUGCUCAAAUCAUCUGUGAAGGUGAGAAAAUAACGAUACCCGCCGCGAGCCUCAACAUUCAUUGGGCCACAAACAUCAGUAUGUAUGAUUUCCAACAAAUCAGUUGCUCGCUCCAUAGUUCCGGAGAACAGCGUUUUAGUCAUCUUGCCCAUAAGGCACGGUUCGCAAGUACCAAGUGAUUCAUAAUCAAGUGAUUCCAAAAGUCCAUCAGUAUUGAGUUUCUUCAUGCGCUUUACACCGAUAUGACUCAAACGGCAGUGCCACAAAUAAGUUGCACUAUCAUUAUUAACUCUGCAUCUUUUGGUUUCAACACUAUGAAUAUGUGUAUCACUACUAUCGAGAUUUAAUAAAAAUAGACCACUCUUCACGGGUGCAUGACCAUAAACACUACUGGAAACAGGGAAUUUGCCAUCAGACAGCUCUUUGCCAUCUGCCAGCUGAUGGCAAAGAACAUCUAUGCCAUCUGCUUAUAAAAAGCAGAUGACAAAAAACUGACAGACGGCAAAGAACAUGGUUGCCAUCAGCCAAUUCUUUGCCAUCUGCUGGUGGAUGGCAAAUAAUCUUUGUCAUCUGCCAGCAGAUGGCAAAGAGGUUGGCAAAUCUUAUGGUCAUCAAAAGUGUAACGACGUAUCAGCCCCACCUUUUUGCCAUCUGCCAUCUGCCAGCGGGGCCGGCGGCGCCGGCGGGGGACUGUGGCUCCGCGCUGACGGGCCUCACCAGCUGCCUCCCCUACAUCUCGCCGGGGUCCACGCAGGGCAAGCCGCCCAAGGAGUGCUGCACCGGCGUCAAGUCCGCGCUCGCCAGCCCGGCCAACGUCGCCUGCCUCUGCGACGCCUUCGGCAAGGACUACGGCAUCCCCAUGAAUCUCAUCCGCGCCAAGGGCCUCCCCGCCGCCUGCGCAGGCAACCCGGCUGCCCUCAACAACUGCAGCCGUGAGCUAUCUUCCCUUAGCGCCAUCUUGUUCUGAUUUUCUUUUCCGCGUGUCGAUUUGUGAUCUGUCACAUGUGGUGUUGGUCUGACCUUGUUUUUGGUUCUCCUGCAGUGAAACUGCCCGGCGGAGCCCCUAACGGCGCCCCUACUGAAGGUAAUUCCCCUCUCUCUUCUCCUUUGCAGAGAUCCUCACCUCACGUCGGUGCUAGGUGGUAGGUGGGCUGAGGAUAAUUGGUCAUGAGCAAUUUAGUUGGAGGCCUCCUUGCCAGUCUUCUUCCUCCAAACUGACGAAAUUGACAAGAACAUCGACUCAGCUCAAAUCUUCAUACUAUAUAGUAUAUUUACCCAUUAUUUUUGCCAAAUAUUAUUAUGGAGGCUGCCAAAUCUUGCCAUAUUGUUGGCUUUGCUCCUGAAGUCAGGUUGUUUUGGACAGCCAAGAACAAGAGUACACUGAAACUACUGAUUUUAUUUUUUUAAGAAACAAGAGUUACAAACUCAAGUGGUCGGGCAGUAUUCAGACUACAUCAAAUCUCUAAGUCUAUUAGGGACGCUUGCUGCCAAUUGACAAGAAUACAUAGCCCCGAUGGUUUGUGGCGGCUGCACCCACCCAUCCCAGUCCACUGUCCAGCAGAAAGGCAACAUCUGACCGGUCCAAAAAAAGUUACUAACCCACAAAAAGAAACAGCAGAAAGGAGUCGGCUAGCUUUCUUGCAGACUAUACGUACAUGUGAAACAUAGAAUCAUAUCACGCAAGUUAUACAGCAGGUCAAAAAAAUCUUAAAAAAAUAAAAUAAAGUAACAGCCAACAGAUAACUAUAGUAGUUAGGAAGAGCAACUUUAGUGAAGAAAAAUAUUGAGCUGGAUAGCUUAAUGUCAUCUAGAUUGGUAUGCCAUGCUCAAUUGCAAUUUUGGGUCAUUAGAACAUGAAAUGAUUGGAUCUGCCUGAGCAGGAUGGGGUUUACAAGUUGUAAUCUGGCAAAAUUCGGUUCUCAACUUUCUUUUCCUAUAUCUUCCAUUGUAUAAUUGCAACACACAGGAAAACCUGAAGCUAUUUCAAGGCUUGUGACAAAGCUGCAAUGGUUAUCUGAUAUCUACUUGUUCCCUUGAUAGACAUAUUUCUCUUGCUCUGCUCUGCAUGAACUAGACAGAUAGCAUUGUAAAACAGCGGAAAACCUGUAAACAUUUCAUGCCAAAAUGGCAAUUUCAGCCACAAUGCAAUAAUCGAGACAAACAUGGCAGUCUGCAUUUUAACAAGGAUGGCAACUGCAACCUGAUCAUCUCAGCACAAUUUUUGUCAGCGAGCCAUCAACACUUGCGGCAGGAAAAGUCUGCAUAGUACCAACUCUGUGCCAAAUAGUUAGAAAGAUGUUUUCUAUUGCAUUGCAUUAUGCUAAUGUGGAGUUGGAGAUGAUAGCUUCAACAAGCACAUGGCUGUUAAGCUAAGAAUUGGUGUACAUUGUAAGGAGCCAUCCUAUCCUAGUCAGUAAAAUGAAAUCAUCUAACUGUUGCUAAAUGCAUUCAGAAAAGGGGAGUCCAUGGUGCUCUAAACUGAACAUCAGUUUCAUGUGUUCAUCUGAUUCCAUUAGAUGAAGUUGUCAAGAAACGACCUUCUACUUACGCUUAAGACAAUAUCUAAGACAAUCCAGAUCCAGCUGUACUGGGUCAACAAUAUGUCAGCUGAUUAUACUUUGGCAACAACAGAUCUCAUGCACAUAUCAAUAUCUGCAUCUCCAAACUGUGGGCCAACUCUCUUGGCAGAAUAAUUAGUUGUUUUAUUGCCCGAUAUAAUCCUCAUGUAUCAUUAACAGAAUAGGUUAACAUCAACAUCCACAAGCACGAAUCGUCCGCCAGGAAAACAGCAAGCAACACCAGCCCUUCGUCAACUCUAAUAGUACUGCUGUACAUACUGAAGUUCAUUUGUUUCACUUCUUUUUUUUAUAGCCAUGAAACAGCCUUGGUACGUUACUCAUUUUAGAUUCUUAGAUAUCUCUGCACAUGCUUCCAUGUGGUAGCCAUUGCUGUUUCGUUUCAUAAAAGUUACCAUAUUCGAGCAUUCUUAUAUGCAUAUUUGUUUCCUAGAUCUGUCAACACGAGUGUCUCCCAAAGGUCCUAAAACAUUUAUGGUGAGUUAUGUAUUACAACAAAAUCAUUCUGCGAAAAAAGCCGAUGUACAAAAUUACCCGAUAUUCUCUCUUUUAUACUAAAAUCUAACAUAUAGUAAAUCGAGAAAAAUAGCAUGUGCCAUCCGCAGCUCCUUACUGUUCUUUGCAUAUCGUAUAUUUAUAAUACAUGGAGCUUUACCAAUGUGUACUGUAUUUGAAACAAUACGUGGAUUAUGGCAUCAAGGGUGAAAACAAAUAUGUAGUUGUAUAUGAUCUCCAAAUUUUGUUUCUCCUAGGUAUUUUAAGGAUACACAAAUGUAGUUGUAUAUAAUCUCCAAAUAUCUAUUUCCUCAACAAGCUUCUAUAGUCCCCUUAAUUUCAUUUGCACAGUUGUUUUGAUAAAUUAGGUCUAGAUUCAUUGUGCCACUUCAUAUUUCAGAAUACAUGUGUGGGAACGAAGCAUAUAACUAAUAUUUUUUCAUGUUGUAAUUAUAAGAGGCUGAUUUCAUCUAUUCAUUGUUUCAUCCAUGUUGCAUGAAAAUGCCAAUUGUAUUUAAAGAAGAAAGAAACACUCAUUGUUUGAGUUCAGUCCAAUAUAUUGUAGCAGCAAAUAUUCUUAUCCCUGAAAAAAUAUCUCAAUUUUGAAUUAGUAUGAAUUUGCUGUGGCCCAUCCUAGAGAUAAUUAGACCGCUCCUGAAAUUAAGACUACACAUUGCUAAUGUCGCAAGUGUUUAAAAUGGCCACUCUGACUACAUUUUCAGCUAGCUCAAAAAUGACCUAUUUAACCUAGGAUAGCUCUAAAAUGACCUAUACUUAGCAUUUUUUUUUUCUCCAAAUGACUUAAUAUGCUUAGCUAGCUCUAAAAUGACUUACGAAAUGACAUAUUUUAGCUCCGAAAUGACUUCAUAUGCUUAGCUAGCUCCAAAAUGACAUAAUAAACUUAUUAGUUCCAAAAUGACAUUACUUAGCAUUUUUUACACCAAAAUGACUUAGUAUGCUUAGUUAGCUCAAAAAUGACAUAAUAACCAUACUUAGCUCCAAAAUGACCUAUUUUACAGAUAUAAGUUGCAUCAUAAUAAUCUUCACAUUUUAGUUACAUCAUAAUAAUCUUCUUCUUCUAGUCUUCUUCUUCUAACUUUCUUCUUUCCCAUUUUGUAGAUUUGCUUCAGAUCAUAGAAGCUUGGGUUGAUGGAGUGCUUGUCUUUAGUUUUUGUUUUGACUUUGUGAAACUUGCUACCUAUGAUGAAACUGUGUAAUAUUGAUGAAACUAUGUAUAUGUAUGGAUGAAACUUGCUACUAUUGGUAACAUGUGUUGGAUAUGUGUUCGAUAUAUAUGUGUUCAUGACUAUUGGUAAUAUGUGUUGAAUAUGCUAUAUUGGUCAUAUAAAUAUAUUUGUAUUUGAUUUUCUGUGAAAAUGAAUUGAUAUAAGAAAAAACAAAAUUAAAUGGGGCAAUAUAGGCACUUUGCCAUCUGCUGGCAGAUGGCAAAGAGUUUUGCCAUCAGCUGGCAGAUGGCAAAGAGGCCACGUGUCAUCUACACGUAAAAUUUGGGCUGGCCUAUUUGGGCCCUUUGCCAUCUACCAGCAGAUGGCAAAGCGCCUUUACCAUCUGCUGGCAGACGGCAAAGAGCCUGCCUUUGCCAUCUGCUGGCAGACGGCAAAGCAUGCUGUUAGCCUUCUAACGGGGCUAACCCUGUUAAGAGGCUUUGCCAUCUGCCAGCUGAUGGCAAAGGCACAGGCUCUUUGCCAUCAGCCAGCAGAUAGCAAAGAAGCGUUUGCCGGCAGGGUUUCAGACAAACUGUUUGCCAUCUGCUGGCAGAUGGCAAAGCCUUUGCCAUCCGCCGACCAUGCCUUUGCCAUCUGCCAUGGCAGAUGGCAAAGUGCCAGAUUCCAGUAGUGAAAAGAUAUUACUCGUAUAAAUAGAACAACCAUUAUUCUCUGAUUUAAAUGAAUAACCGUCUCGCAUCAAACAAGAUCCAGAUAUAAUGUUCAUGCUCAACGCUGGCACCAAAUAACAAUUAUUCAGGUCUAAAACUAAUCCCGAAGGUAGAUGUAGAGGUAGCGUGCCGACCGCGAUCACAUCGACUUUGGAACCGUUUCCCACGCGCAUCGUCACCUCGUCCUUGGCCAGUGCUCGCUUAUUCCGUAGUCCCUGUUUCGAGUUGCAAAUAUUAGCAACAGAACCAGUAUCAAAUACCCAGGUGCUACUACGAGCUCUAGUUAGGUACACAUCAAUAACAUGUAUAUCACAUAUACCUUUAUUCACUUUGCCAUCCUUCUUAUCCGCCAAAUACUUGGGGCAGUUCCGCUUCCAGUGACCAGUCUGCUUGCAGUAGAAGCACUCAGUUUCAGGCUUAGGCCCAGACUUGGGUUUCUUCUCUUGAGCAGCAACUUGCUUGCUGUUCUUCUUGAAGUUCCCUUUCUUCUUCCCUUUGCCCUUUUUCUUGAAACUAGUGGUCUUGUUGACCAUCAACACUUGAUGCUCCUUCUUGAUUUCUACCUCCGCAGCUUUUAGCAUUGCGAAGAGCUCGGGAAUAGUCUUGUUCAUCCCUUGCAUAUUAUAGUUCAUCACAAAGCUCUUGUAGCUUGGUGGCAGUGAUUGGAGAAUUCUGUCAAUGACGCUAUCAUCCGGAAGAUUAACUCCCAGUUGAAUCAAGUGAUUAUUAUACCCAGACAUUUUAAGUAUAUGUUCACUGACAGAACUAUUCUCCUCCAUCUUGCAGCUGUAGAACUUAUUGGAGACUUCAUAUCUCUCAAUCCGGGCAUUUGCUUGAAAUAUUAACUUCAACUCCUGGAACAUCUCAUAUGCUCCAUGACGUUUAAAACAUCGUUGAAGACCCGGUUCUAAGCCAUAAAGCAUGGCACACUGAACUAUAGAGUAGUCAUCAGCUUUGCUCUGCCAGACGUUCUUAAUGUCGUCAGUUGCAUCAGCAGCAGGCCUGGCACCCAGCGGUGCUUCCAGGACGUAACUUUUCUGUGCAGCAAUGAGGAUAAUCCUCAGGUUACGGACCCAGUCCGUGUAAUUGCUACCAUCAUCUUUCAACUUUGCUUUCUCAAGGAACGCAUUAAAAUUCAACGGAACAACAGCACGAGCCAUCUAUCUACAAACAAACAUAGACAAGCAAAAUACUAUCAGGUACUAAGUUCAUGAUAAAUUUAAGUUCAAUUAAUCAUAUUACUUAAGAACUCCCACUUAGACAGACAUCUCUCUAGUCAUCUAAGUGAUCACGUGAUCCAAAUCAACUAAACCAUAACCGAUCAUCACGUGAGAUGGAGUAGUUUUCAAUGGUGAACAUCACUAUGUUGAUCAUAUCUACUAUAUGAUUCACGCUUGACCUUUCGGUCUCCGUGUUCCGAGGCCAUAUCUGCAUAUGCUAGGCUCGUCAAGUUUAACCUGAGUAUUCUGCGUGUGCAAAACUGGCUUGCACCCGUUGUAGAUGGACGUAGAGCUUAUCACACCCGAUCAUCACGUGGUGUCUGGGCACGACGAACUUUGGCAAUGGUGCAUACUCAGGGAGAACACUUCUUGAUAAUUUUAGUGAGAGAUCAUCUUAAAAUGCUACCGUCAAUCAAAGCAAGAUAAGAUGCAUAAAGGAUAAACAUCACAUGCAAUCAAUAUAAGUGAUAUGAUAUGGCCAUCAUCAUCUUGUGCUUGUGAUCUCCAUCUCCGAAGCACCGUCAUGAUCACCAUCGUCACCGGCGCGACACCUUGAUCUCCAUCGUAGCAUCGUUGUCGUCUCGCCAACUAUUGCUUCUACGACUAUCGCUACCGCUUAGUGAUAAAGUAAAGCAAUUACAGGGGGUUUGCAUUUCAUACAAUAAAGCGAUAACCAUAUGGCUCCUGCCAGUUGCCGAUAACUUCGGUUACAAAACAUGAUCAUCUCAUACAAUAAAAUAUAGCAUCACGUCUUGACCAUAUCACAUCACAACAUGCCCUGCAAAAACAAGUUAGACGUCCUCUACUUUGUUGUUGCAAAUUUUACGUGGCUGCUACGGGCUUUUAGCAAGAACCGUUCUUACCUACGCAUAAAAACCACAACGAUAGUUUGUCAAGUUGGUGUUGUUUUAACCUUCGCAAGGACCGGGCGUAGCCACACUCGAUUCAGCUAAAGUGAGGGAGACAGAUACCCGCCAGCCACCUUUAAGCACGAGUGCUCGCAAUGGUGAAACCAGUCUCGCGUAAGCGUACGCGUAAUGUCGGUCCGGGCCGCUUCAUCUCACAAUACCGCCGAACCAAAGUAUGACAUGCUGGUAAGCAGUAUGACUUGUAUCGCCCACAACUCACUUGUGUUCUACUCGUGCAUAUAACAUCAACGCAUAAAACCUGGCUCUGAUGCCACUGUUGGGGAACGUAGUAAUUUCAAAAAAUUUCCUACGCACACGCAAGAUUAUGGUGAUGCAUAGCAACGAGAGGGGAGAGUGUUCGUCCACGUACCCUCGUAGACCGUAAGCGGAAGCGUUAUGACAACGCGGUUGAUGUAGUCGUACGUCUUCACGAUCCGACCGAUCCAAGCACCGAACGUACGACACCUCCGAGUUCAACACAUGUUCAGCUCGAUGACGAUCCCCGGGCUCCGAUCCAGCAAAGCUUCGGGGAUGAGUUCCGUCAGCACGACGGCAUGGUGACGAUGAUGAUGUUCUACCGGCACAGGGCUUCGCCUAAACUCCGCGACGAUAUGACCGAGGUGGAAUAUGGUGGAGGGGGGCACCGCACACGGCUAAGGAAUGAUCCGUAGAUCAACUUGUGUGUCUAUGGGGUGCCCCCGCUCCCGUAUAUAAAGGAGGGAGGGGGAAGGCCGGCCGGCCCUUGUUGGGCACGCCAGGAGGAGGAAUCCUCCUCCUAGUAGGAGUAGGACUCCUCCUUUCCUACUCCUACUAGGAGGGGAAGGAAGGGGGAGAGGAGGGGAAGGAAAGAGGGGGGCGCCGCCCCCCCUCCUAGUCCAAUUCAGACCAGAGGGAGAGGGGGCGCGCGGCCCUUCCUGGCCGCCCCUCUCUCUUCCCACCAAGGCCCAUGUGGCCCAUUAACUCUCCGGGAGGGGUUCCGGUAACCCUCCAGCACUCCGGUUUUCUUCGAAAUCACCGGAACACUUCCGGUGUCCGAAUAUAGUCGUCCAAUAUAUCAAUAUUUAUGUCUCGACCACUUCGAGACUCCUCGUCAUGUCCGUGAUCACAUCCCGGACUCCGAACAAACUUCGGUAUAUCAAAACUUGUAAACUCAUAAUAAAACUGUCAUCGUAACGUUAAGCGUGCGGACCCUACGGGUUCGAGAACUAUGUAGACAUGACCUAGAACUAUUCUUGAUCAAUAACCAAUAGCGGAACCUGGAUGCCCAUAUUGGUUCCUACAUAUUCUACGAAGAUCUUUAUCGGUCAAACCGCAUAACAACAUACGUUGUUCCCUUUGUCAUCGGUAUGUUACUUGCCCGAGAUUUGAUCGUCGGUAUCCAAUACCUAGUUCAAUCUCGUUACCGGCAAGUCUCUUUACUCGUUCUGUAACACAUCAUCUUAUAACUAACUCAUUAGUUACAAUGCUUGCAAGGCUUAGGUGAUGAGUAUUACCGAGAGGGCCUAGAGAUACCUCUCCGACAAUCGGAGUGACAAAACCUAAUCUCGAAUUAUGCCAACCCAACAUGUACCUUCGGAAACACCUGUAGAGCACCUUUAUAAUCACCCAGUUACGUUGUGACGUUUGGUAGCACACAAAGUGUUCUUCCGGUAAACGGGAGUUGCACAAUCUCAUAGUUGCAGGAACUUUGUAUAAGUCAUGAAGAAAGCAAUAGCAACAUACUAAACGAUCAAGUGCUAGGCUAACGGAAUGGGUCAUGUCAAUCACAUCAUUCUCCUAAUGAUGUGAUCCCAUUAAUAAAAUGACAACACAUGUCCAUGGUUAGGAAACAUAACCAUCUUUGAUUAAUGAGCUAGUCAAGUAGAGGCAUACUAGUGACUUUAUGUUUGUCUAUGUAUUCACACGUGUAUCAUGUUUCCGGUUAAUACAAUUCUAGCAUGAAUAAUAAACAUUUAUCAUGAUAUGAGGAAAUAAAUAAUAACUUUAUUAUUGCCUCUAGGGCAUAUUUCCUUCACGAAGAGCACGUGCCAACCUUCUAUUGCCAACUGAAAUUGACUCGAAAUUUUUGACCGGUUUCAACCAGUGACACCGAAGUGUGGAAGUGCUCAUGUCAGCUUGACUCGGGCCCACCGAGAAGUUUUAUCUGGUCUCACCGAAAAUCCUAAAGUUCGAACCUUUUCCACAUGUCAGUCUCACCGAGUGGUUUCACCCGGUCCCACUGAAGUGUGCAUAAAGGUGUGCAAUAGUUGGAUUUUUUGGUGAUGGCUAUAUAUACCCCCUCCCCCCACCCAUCCACAAACUCUCAUAGAGCAACGAGUUCAAAGCUUACAUUUCCCAUAUUCAUUUUCUGAGAGAGAGCCACCUAGUCUUGUGUUGAGACCAAAGGGAUUCCACCCCAACCAUAGAACCUUGAUCUGAGCUUCCCAAUUGCUUUCCACCCAAACCCCUCUCCUACCACACAGCCAAAAUCUGCGAGAGAGUGUUUGAGUGUUAAGGAGACUAUCUUUUGAAGCACAAGAGCAAGGAGUUAAUCAUCAACAACAACAUCUAUUUCCUUUUGGAAAGGGGUGUCUCCUAGAUUGGUUAGGUGUCACUUGGGAGCCUCCAAAUCUUGUGGAGUGAACCAAGGAGUUUGUAAGGGCAAGGAGAUCGCCUACUUCAUGAAGAUCUACCCCGAGCGAGGCUUAUCCUUCGUGGGCAUAAGCCAUGGUGGAAUAGGUAAGGUUGCUUCUUCGUGCACCCUUCAUGGACUCUCACAUAUGUUAUCCUUCUUGGAUUGAAGCCUCCGUCAACGUGGAUAUAUGAUAGCACCACCUACCGGAACCAUGGGAAAAAUCUUCGUGCCCCCAUUGCGUUUGAAUAUCUCCAAACCCUUCCUCUACCUACUUUCAUAUGCAAAGUCUUUACUUUCCACUGCUACUCUAUUAGACGUGCAUGUGUAGGGUGUUUGUAGGCUUGAUAGAACUGGUAAAAUUUGCCCAGAACCAAAAUUGAGAAAGGCUAGGUUUUUAAUUGUCAAGUACUCUAAUCACCACCUCUAGACCUACUUACAAUCCUAUGGUGUUCCUGUUUCACUUCAUCUUUUUGUCCGAUCUCCACCUAGGUAUAACCCCGCCUCCUACCCUCCUUCCCCACAUUGAUUUUUUCUCUCCCAUGUGUUUUUUGAAUUGUUUUGUUUUUAUCUUUCUUCUGCCUCCCCGGUUUCCUUUAGCCACUAAAAUCACACACCAACCAUCCCGCGUCGUCUCCUCCGCUCCUUCAAUCACAUACCCCGCCUUGCAUGCCUGGAAGCCCCUGCCUGCGUCACAUUAUUGUAAGUCGUCAUCCCACGUCCCAUGCAUGAUGAUAGCGCGUUCAACGGCCUCCACUCAUGCGCGCCGAUCCAUGACGCCUGCGGUGGCGACACCCACGACGCUAGGUGAGGCUCAGUGGCUAUCGUGCGCGCCAUCAGCUCUAGACAACACCCCCAUCGAGGAAUACAUGGGCUUCCCCACCCCAACAGAGAUUCUCCAUAUUUGUCAAGGCGUCGUCGCCGCAAGAGGUUCAGUUAAGAUUACCCCCGUUUUCUUUGAUAUACUACAUUUCUUAGCUAAUGUCCUCCUAGCAUUGAUCAUGUUAUCUGAUUAAGAAAGACUUGGUCAUCUGGUAGUAGUAGCUGGUGAAGUGGAUCUAUAUACUACUUCAGUUUUCAUGAUAACAAAUGCUUGAUUGCUUGUCCAUGCACGCUUUAAUAGGAUAGUUGGCUUGUUUCUGUAGUACUUUGUCCAGUUUUAAAUGUUCACUUUCUCAACUUAUUAGAAGGAUCACAUCAAUCGAAAAAUCAUGUGCCCUUGGCUUGAUCAAAUGUGUGGCUGCUAAUUUAUUUCUAAAAUUUUCCUCAUUCUAUCUUAUUAUUCCAUAGCUAAUUAUAUUUCGGAAUCUGAUGGGCGCAACAGACUUUCACAAUAAGAAAGCUCUAACCUUUUGAUAGAUAAAAUGCAAAGAUUAAAAGGAGAUGGAAAUCCAUAUAUUCCUUUAUUGUUAUGUGUAACAACAGGUUCCAACAGACGGGAUGGUAAAUCAGAUAGCAUACUAUUCAGAAAGACAACACAUUCAUCACUUUUUUUGAAAUAUUGGUCAAGUAAGCAAAAUUUGGAAUCCAAGACAAAACACCAACUAUUGUACUUCUGAAUACACAUUUAUUUGCCAGCAUGAAACUAUCCAUCACGUGUAGGUGUGUUUGCUCCCCGGAGCAUAGCAAUAUGAGAUGCUCUUAUAUAAACAUGGCCUUGCUUACAACAUUAAUUAAAGGUCAGAUCUUGCUUUCAAGGUCAAUAUAAUCACCUUUUAACUUCUGUCAAGAUAAAUAAACUACACGUGCACCCCACUAAUAGAAAAACUUGAUUAUAUCUACAGGUAUAUUUUAUCACUUCUAAUAACCUCAUUGACUGUUUACAUGCCAUCGUGUAUACCAAAAAUACAUGAGUGUCGAUUUUAAUUUAUUUUAUGACGUAGUGCCCAUUAGGCUUUCAAAUAUUUUACAUUAGUGGUACUUCUGUCAUGAAACUUAUGAAGAAUUUAUUCCCUUGAACGAUAUUUCAGUCAUUUGGAUUUAUGUUAUAUGUGUGGUGGCAUGAGAAAAUGGAAGGCCCUUGACUGAAAAGAAAGCAAAAUAUGCUUAUCAAUUAACAUAAAAUUUGCAUAAUCAUGUCUUUGAUAUAUGUUUGCGGGAGAGAGAGAGAGAGAGAGCCUUGACUGAAAAGAAAGCAAAAUAUGCUUAUCAGUUAACAUAAAAUUUGCAUAAUCAUGUUUUUGAUAUANNNNNNNNNNNNNNNNNNNNNNNNNNNNNNNNNNNNNNNNNNNNNNNNNNNNNNNNNNNNNNNNNNNNNNNNNNNNNNNNNNNNNNNNNNNNNNNNNNNNNNNNNNNNNNNNNNNNNNNNNNNNNNNNNNNNNNNNNNNNNNNNNNNNNNNNNNNNNNNNNNNNNNNNNNNNNNNNNNNNNNNNNNNNNNNNNAGAGAGAUGCACCAUUGACAGAGGUGGUGAGCUUGCAUUAUGGAGUCGAGGGGUAGAGAUGGUCUGUCAAAUUAGAAGGAGAAGAGUGACUUAAUAGUAACGUCAAUAUUGCCUGAUGUGCAUGAGGAUCUUCAAGAUAUAUGUUAGACACAAUUGGUGUUGACCAUUAAUAUAUGUAUGCUCUCUUGCACUGCAUGAGCAAUUUCCUAGAUUUUUGAAAUAUUUCAAUUUUUUUGGAAAAGACAAAAAAUUCUUUUGUUAACAAUUUUUAAAGCGGAACAUUUUUUGUAAUUCAAAUCAAUUUUUGAAGAGUCAUUUUUUCCAAUUUCGGAACAAUUUUUGAAAGCGAAAUUUUGUCUGAAAUUCCAAACAAAAAUCUAAUUUCUCAACAUUUCUCGAAAUUCCAAUUUUUACAAAAUUUCCAAACUAUUUUUUAAGUAGAAAAUUAUAAAAUAUAAAAAAAGGACAAAAAAAGGAACCAAUGGGAAAACCUAAAACAAAAAAAGGAUAAAUACCAAAUCAAAAAAAAAAUGAAAAAUGAGAAAAAUUAAAACCAGAUGGAAGAAAACCAAAAGAAGGAACAAACACGCAUUAGAAGAAAAAGAAAAAUUAAAGCUGCAGUAGUGAAUGGUAAACUGGGCCAGUCCAGGUCACCUGCGUGCGGGUGGCAUUUGCUAGUUGAUGCCUGCGGGAACACUUGUUUGGCGCCUUAAGUGCUCGAACAGGUAGCUGGCGCCCACACGCCCACCUCAUGGGCCGGCCCAGGAACGCACAUCGCCGGGAACCUAUGCGCGAAAAAAUAGCUAAAAACUAAGGCCAUCCCCAUGAUUCAAAUUCACGUCAUUACGGUCAAGUAGGAGUUCAACUGACCACUACACCUACUCGACUAUUGUGACCGAUAAUAGCUCUAACCUUAUAAGAAAUGUGCCCGUGCUAUUUAUUGCAUAGUUCCAUCUACUAUAUCACUUAGUUUUUUUUUGACUUAUUUGAAUAAUAGUUGUGAAUUUGAAAAUAUUCAAUAUUUUGAAGAAAAUUUCAUAAACUUGAAAAAGUUCACCAUCUUUUUUUAAAGUUCAUUAAAAAAAGGGAAAUAGUUCAUCAAAUUUAAGAAACUUCAUGAAUUUCAAAGGAAGUUCAACGAAUUUUUAAAAGAAGUUCAUGGAUUUUAAAAAAUGUUCACUGAAUCAAAAAAAUCAUUGAAUUACGAAAAAAAGUUCACAUUUUUUGAAUUUUAUUUCAUCGAAUUUGAAAAAAUUUCAUAAAUUCUAAAAAAGAGCUCAUCGGUUUUAAUGAAAGUUCAUAUUUUUUUUAAAAUCAUCGAGUUGAAAAAGUUUCAUCGAAAUUGAAAACAAGUUCAUGGAUUUUGAAACAAAAAUUCAUCCAAUUGGUGAAAAGUUUAUAAAAUUUGAAAUAAAGUUCUUCAAUUUUGAAAAAAAAUAAUCAAAAAUUGAGAAAAAGGUUUUUAAAAGGCCACAAACUUUUAAAAAGUUUAACAAAUUUCAAAAUUUUCAGGGAAUGUCAAAAAAAGUUCGUUGAUUUGGAGAAGAAUUUCACGUAUUUGCAAACAAUUUGUGCCAGUCGGCCGUUUGCAAAUUGCGACCAAGUCGGUUUUUUUUUCCGGACUAAAACAUUUGGAAAAAAACUUACAUGGACCCGCCAGUGCGAGGACGCUUCACGUGCCCGUUUGCAGAAUACACACUAACUGGUGCCUGAGGCGCCGAAUAGGUAUCACUGACGCCUGCAGGUGUUAACUAGGAUUUGCCUAUCUCUCCUACCGCGAGACGGUUAUAGAUCUCACCUUGAGUUCUUUAGUUUUUUUUCCUUCUAGGCUAGACAAGUUCAAUUUUUCAUUAGUUUCUCUGGGUUUUUUAUCGUCUUUUUUUCUUCAUGUUUUCCCAUGAGGUUUUCUUUUUUCAACCUUUUAUUUUGUCAUUUUUCUUAAAAACAUUUCUGUAUUUUCCAAUACAUGUUUUAGAUUCUCAUAUAUAAGUCGAACAUUUCCCUGAUAUAAAAUGAAUAUUUUUUAAAAUAAUUGAUGAUUUUUCAAAUAAAUAUUCUUAACAUUUUAAGAGUGGAUGUUAAACAUUUUAAGAACACAUGUUGAACACUUUUUUUAAUGGUCCAAAACAAUUUUCAAAAUAAAACGAACAUUUCAUUCAUCAUAUAAACAGUUUUUGAGUACAUGUUUAAUUAUUUUCUAAACAAAUGUUAAAUAUUUACAAUACAGGUUGAACAUUUUUCUGGAUGGUAAAUAACUUUUUUUAAAAGUACGUGAACAUUUACAUUGUAAUAAUAUUUAUUUCAAAAUUUUGCAGACAUAUUUGAAACGCUUGAACAUAUUUUCUAAAUGUGAAAAACUUUUUUGAAUGGUGGAAUAUUUUUUUCUUAAUUAUGUGAACAUUCUUUUACAUAUUAUAAACAGUUUCUAAAAAUGGCGCCAACAUAUUUUUUGACGCGCUAGAAUAUUGUAUGAAUACGAUAAACAUUUUUUUGAAGUUGUAUUGAGGAUUUAUUUUGCAACACAUGAACACUUUUUAAGUAUGUGAUACACACUUUUCAGAAAUUUAAGUAAUUAUUGUUGGAACAUAUGUAUUUAGAAUAUUUUUGAGAAUAUAAAAAAUGUAUAAAAUAAAAAGUAAAGGAAAAAUGGAUAGAAGACAAAUGAGCUGAGUGAAAAAAUGAAGCCUUCUACUGGGCCCGGCCACUAGAGUCAUUCCUUGAGGCAAUGUGGCAGUAGCUCUCACCGCAAGCAAGGUAUAGCCCUUUGUCUACAUUACGAACAAUUCACCAAGAGAUCGUUACAUUGGGAUCAGACUAAACUUAUUUGGACUACUUGUUUUCUUGUCACAAUAAAGGUUUUAGAUGUUUAUACAAAAGUGAAAAUAAUAAUAUAAGUUGUUGUAAUUGCAAACUAUUUUGAUUUUUUUUGUAUGGUGGUAUUGAUGAUGCAGGUAGGGUUUCAAAUUAUCUUAAACACUAAAAUUAAAGCCCUAGGUGUUUUACCAAGAAAUAUAUUGAUAUUUUAAACCAUCUAUAUUUAUAGAUAUGCUAAACAUGAACCCCAACCGCACUGAAUCACUUGAAAUAGUAAGACACGUAAAACUUCCAUCUCCACAUCCUUGCAAAAACCAACCAUUCCCAGCCACUUGAAAUAAUAAGGCACUAGAGAUACUCCCAUGUUCAACAAACCAAUAGAAACAUAACAAAAUCUUUAGGUUUUUGCUGGUUUCUUCAUGAUCUUGUAUACUCAAGCGCAUAACCAAACUUAUGAGCAUAGUAUGUUGGAGGAACUGUCCAAACACAAUCAAAUUUGAGCACUACGUUGCUAGUAAUUUAUCCCAUAUAUGAGAAGGAUACAACUCUAAUUUAACAUUGGACCAAGGAUUUUUGCCAAACUCAAUCGUGUAUGUUUCAAAAUUUUGUUUUAAGCUCUAAUAAUAAAUUGAUAGCUUAUUUCUAUGAAGAAAUACAGAAACAAUGCUCUCCUAAAAAAACACAAUGAAAUUUGGUUACAAAGUAUCUCGAGGAUGUGACGGAGAUGAGAGGGAAGAGUGCCAUACCAGUGCACACCGAACGAGUGCAACUUACAUACCUAAGAAGAGCAUAGCAUAUCAACACAUCAUACUAUUGAACAAAAAAAAUAUAUGCAAAACACACAAUGUCGGGUUAGAGCAUGCUUACGUGUAGCACAUGUCGGGUUAGAGCAUGCUUACGUGUAGCACAUGUUGUAUGUAAGAGAUUGCAUGCCAUCAAUAGUGAACUUCUUGUCAUCCUCAGGAGUGGUAAUGUGCAAGACGGCUUGUCCCCUGUGUUUGACAAGUCUACCAUUCGUAAAGACGAUAUCAUCAAGAAGAAACUACUAUGUGUAAUUAGUUCUAGUAACAUUACAUUGAUCCUAGCAUGUUUGCAUAGGUAGAAAUCAAACUCUGUUGGGUAGCGAAUCUGCCUAUCAACCACUACUCCUGGAAUUUGACAGAAAGAGGUUAGAAAACCCAUCUUGUCCAAAUCAGUCGUUUCACCAUUUUUUUUGUGAAAUGACCUGGCAGAACAUUUCAAAUCUUUUCCAGGUAUUUGCGAUCACUUGUGAUUAGUCUUGUAUGGUGCCUUUUCUGCACCACUUGGAAGGUAAUCAGUGGCUUCUCAUUGUAUAAUGCCUUCCAUGCCUGAGACAAAGAGUUCUGAUUAAUCAAUCCCGUUCCUAACAGGAUGAAGACACCGAGCAUCGCUAGUCAUAAAAUUGGUAGGACCUUAUCUACCUGUGGGAUUUCCUUCUUGAAAACUUGUAUGAUCUGACCCUCACUUACACCAUUCAUAGGGACGCAACGAAACAAGUAUACCUAUUUCUUAAUGAUGGUCAAAAGAACACAAACAUAACAUGUGUAAACUAUGUACCUAUAAAAUACCAACUGUUCCAUCCUCUACUCAAAUUUUCUCUUGGAAUCAAAGUAGGAGCUUCCUGAAACAAAAAGAAAAAAAAUUGAACAUCUGCCUUAUGUGGUAUGGACAGUUAAGGUUUAGGUGCAACACAUAGAAAACCUUACUUACCAAUAUUUCUAAGGUCUUGAUUGAACUAUUCACGAUGACCUUGCAUGUCAAUACCACCAUGAUACUUGUUACCUCAGGCUAGUCAUGGGAGGCAACAAUCUAAAUGGAAACCCCACAAUCACAAAUAUGCUACAAACUUAAACUAGAAUAUGUCAUUUCUAUUUACUAAAGAAAAUAAAUUUUAGGAAAUAAAUGGAAGGCCUUGAAUGAGAUAUUCAUGGUGAACUUGCCUACAAACAUUUCUCUAAUACCUGUCACCUUAGACCAGUUUUGGUAGGCAAUAACCUAAACGGAAACACCACAAAUCGAAAAAAUGUUACAAAUUUAUACUAGAGUGUGUACUUUCUAUUUAUCGAAGAAACCGAAGAAACUAAUUCUUAGAUAAGCAAUUGAAGGCCUUGAAAUACCUCUUCGCGGUGAUAUCGUGCACCAACAUCACCACGAUACUUGUGACCUUAGACUUGUUUUGGGAGGCAACAACUCAAAUGGAAAUCCCACAAAUCGCAAUCAUGUUACAAAAUUAAACUAGAGUAUGUACUUCCUAUUUACUGAAUGUAUUUGUGAUCACUUGGGAAUAAUCUUGUAUGGUGCCUCUUAUGGAUCACUAGGAAGGUAAUUGCUGAUUCUCAUUGUUUAACGCCUUCCAUGCCUGAAACAAGGAGUUAUAAUUAAUGAAUUAUGUGAGUAAUAGGCCGAUGACACGAAGCAUCGCUGGUCGUCAAAGCCCCUUCAAUAAAAGCCCUGAUCAACCCUGUCAUAAGCUUUAGAGAGGUAAAUCUUGCAUGCACAUUGAGAUGACAUCGCGUCUCGCCGUUGUUCAAAAUCCAUCACUACAUCGUUGACUACAUUCCAUGCCAUUCAUGCAAAUCACCCAAAAAAGCAAAUAAGCCAUAAAAUUGCAGUUGUUGUCUCACUUGCCCUAUGCGAACAACGUCGACGAUAUUAACCCAAUUGCUUUCAUAAAAGAGACACGCGUUUAAAACAACGCAAGAAAAAAAGGCUAUCAAUUCAAGGAAUAAAUGACCCGAAAAUUGGAAAUGGAUAAGCCCCCACAUUCUCUUCUCUCCUCUUUGCAGCCAUGUUAUAUGAGAAGGGGCCAAAAUAGAAGUAAAAAACAUAAAAGAGAAAAUGUUGAUAGAGCCGAGUUUGUCUCCAUUACCAACAACUCAACAAUAGAUCAUCACGUUCAUGGCGAACUAUACUUACUUGCACCAUCAUCCUGCUUGUCACAAUGAAUGUUUUUGAUGUUUAUACAAAAAAAUGUAUAAAUACUAUAAGUUGUGGUAACUUUAUAAUAUUUACAAAAUAUUAUUUUGUGUGUGCCUGCGCGCGCACAUGUGUAUAUAUAUAUAUCUCUGUGUGUGUGUCAUGGUAUCCGAGAUAAAAUCAGGGUUUUCAGCUUAUCAGAAAAAAAAUUUAGAAUUGAAGCCCUAGAUCUUUGACCUAGAAAAAGUAUUGAGAUUUUAAAUUUUCUGAACUUAUAGAUAUGCUAAACAUGAACCCCAUGCACCCCGAAUCACUUGAAAUGGUAAGACACAUAAAACUUCCAUCUCAUAUCCUUGCAUAAAAAACAAUGUUAGUAAAUAGAUACAAUAACGCACUAGAGAUACUCCAAUGUAAAUCAAACAAUUAGAAACAUGAAAAAAUCUUAAAGUUUCUGUUGGUUACUUCAGGCUCUGGUAGAAUAUCCCACAAAGCACGUGCUUAUGAGUAUAGUACACACGAGAAACUGUCAAAAAAUACGUGAAAUAUGAUAGAACAUGUGAUGGGAGUUAAGAACCUCAGUCAAAGUUGAGCACUAUGUAGCUAGUAUUUUAACCCAUAUCCGAGAGAGUGGCGGAUCCACGAAGGAAAUGUCCGUGUGCACACUCCUAAAAAAAUCUACCUAAUCCAAGUGUUAUAGAAUAUUUGGCAAGAAACACAAAUAUCUUAAUCAAGCCGAACAACAUUAUAAUUUACAAAGUAUUCCAAAAUUGCAAAUACAAAUAUUCUUACAUUAAAGAUACACAUAAGUAGAAAACUAUAACACUAAGUAACUCUACGAUGUUUGUUCAUGAUGACCAUCAUUAUGUCAUCCUCACUUAAUUUCAAGAACACAUCUGACUCAAUAAAUGUCACUAAAUAAUAGUUUAUGAGAUCAUCACCCAUGUUAUGUCUCAACUUGUUAUUCACCAGAUUCAUUGCCAAAAAAUAAUGUUUAAAUACUCAUCGUGUCCAUCGGUAAGAUCAAUACCAAUUUGAUAAGAAAGUAGACCAAACCAUAGAGAAGACGCCUUUUUGUUUCAACAAGCAUAAUAGAGAGCUCAAUAAUAUUGCGCAUUGAUCAGUAUCUAACAUUUUGUCACAUAUCAUGUAUAAAAGCAGCAAGUUGGAAUUCAAGCAUUACCAAAUCCAGCCUUGAUAUGUCCUUGGAAUAGAAUUUGGUAAGUUCCAUUACCUGAGUAAGGAAGCUAGAGCCGAGAUAGAAGUUUAGAAGGCGGGUGAGGACGGAAGGGAGACAUAGAUGGAGAGGCAUCUAGCCAGAAGGGUAGCUUGCCAGGAGCUGACAAUGGCGAGGUGGGAAGGUUUGGGAUCAGCAAGACUAUCAUUUUCGUCUUACAAUGCUCUCCUAAUGAUGGAGAUGGGCGGUGAAGCGGCAAAUGGAGGAGAGGGGCAACAACCGACAAGGGGAGGUCAAGAACAUCGGAGGGGAGAGGCGCGUGCAGUCGUGUGACUGCGCGAGGGUCUCUCUCUCUCUCUCUCUCUCUCUCCUGAUGUUCACGCUUGAGCACAAGACUAGGAGGAAGACACCUACUUGGCUGAGACAAUGGGGGCCCUAGACAACCCUUUGGGGCCAAAAACUAGUAUAUAGUUAAAAAAAUCUUGAUAUUUUGGGUGGGCGACAGCCCAUCGUGCCUACGUUGGUUGUGCUAGUGACUGAGGCAUGUACAAAUCUAAUCUACGUUGUUUCAACAUUCUUGUUUGAACUAUAGUAAUAAUUCACAGUUCAUUUCCAUGAAGAUAUACAGAAUCAAUGUUCUCUACACAAGACACCAUGAAAUCAUGUUUACAAAUNNNNNNNNNNNNNNNNNNNNNNNNNNNNNNNNNNNNNNNNNNNNNNNNNNNNNNNNNNNNNNNNNNNNNNNNNNNNNNNNNNNNNNNNNNNNNNNNNNNNNNNNNNNNNNNNNNNNNNNNNNNNNNNNNNNNNNNNNNNNNNNNNNNNNNNNNNNNNNNNNNNNNNNNNNNNNNNNNNNNNNNNNNNNNNNNNNNNNNNNNNNNNNNNNNNNNNNNNNNNNNNNNNNNNNNNNNNNNNNNNNNNNNNNNNNNNNNNNNNNNNNNNNNNNNNNNNNNNNNNNNAGAGAGAGAGAGAGAGAGAGAGAGAGAGAGAGAGAGAGAGAGAGAGAGAGAAGAGCGCCAAACUAGUCGAUGCCGAACAAGUGCAGCUUUCCUACGUGAGAAUAGCAUAACAGAUCAAGACUUCAUACUAUUGAACAAGACAAUAUUCAAAACACACAAUGUUAGGUAAGAGCAUGCUUAUGUGCAACAAAUGUUGUUUAUAAGAGACGACAUGCAAUCAGUAGUGAACUUGUUACCGUCUCCCAUCACGUGGUAACACACAUGAUGGCUUGUCCCCUGCGUUUGAUAACUUCACCAUUUCUUAAGAUGAUAUCAUGAAGAAGAAACUAAUACGUGUAGUGAGUGCCAGUAACAUUACCUUGAUCCUAACAUGGUAGCAUAGGAAGAAAUCAAAUUCUGUUGGGUGGCAGAUCUGCCUAUCUACCAACGUGCCUACAAUUUUAUAGAAAUAUGUGACAAAAACCAUCUUGUAUGUAUGAAUUAGACAUUUUGCCAAUGUGCCUUCUGAAAUGACCUGGUAGAACAUUUCCACUCCUAGUAUUUGCCAUCACUUGGGAAUAGUGUCGUAUGGUGCCUCUUCUGCAACCAUAUCAAGGAUAUUUGCGGCUUCUCGACGUAUAACACCUUCCAUGCCUUUAACACGAGUUAAAAUUAAUGAAUUUCAUUACUAGUAGGCUAAGGACGUAGACCAUCCUUGGUCAUAAAAUUAAUUAGUAGGACCUUUUCUACCUCGUAGAUUUCCUUAUUGAAAACAUGUAUGAUCUGACCCUCACUUAUGCCAUCUGUCACGACUAAAUGAAACAAGUAUAACUAUUUUGGAACGACGAUCAAGAGAACAGAAUAAGAACACAUGUGAAUAUGAACCUAUAGGAUAUGAGUUGUUGAAUCAUUUUCUUGGGUUUCCUCUUAGAAUGAAAGUAGGAGAUUCCUCAAAGAAAAUAAUAAACAACUGCCUUACGUGGUAUGGACAUUUAAAAUUAUAGCAAUUCCAUUUCUACCCCUAACUCGAACCCACCACUCACAUUUACCCAUAAUUUUCAAAGAAAAGGGAAAAUAGUAAACAACUGCCUUACAUGCUAUGGACAUUUAAAAUUAGAACAAUUCCAUUUCUGCCUUACAUGCUUAGUUCAAGAAUGUCGCACGGGAUUAUGAGCAAUCUUAAUAGCACUUUCAUUGUCACAAAGCAAUGGAACAUGUUUCACAUAUAUGCCAUAAUCUUUAAGAGUUUUGGUCAUCCAAAGUAAUUGAACACAACAUGAACCGACGGUAAUGUAUUCUGCUUCGGCGGUGGAUAAGGAUACUGAGUUUUGUUUCUUGGAGGACCAAGGCACAAGAGAUCUACCAAGAAAUUGACAAGUACCCAAAGUGGACUUUCUAUCAACCUUGUCACCGGCAUAAUCCGAGUCGGAGUAGCCAACAAGAUCAAAAGAAGACCUCUUAGGACACCAAAUGCCAAAGUUUGGUGUGUGAGUUAAGUAUCUCACUAUCCUUUUCACAGCCUUAAGAUGACAUUCUUUGGGGGCCACUUGAUAUCGUGCACACAUGCACACACUUAGCAUAAUAUCGGGACGGGAGGCACAUAAAUAUAACAAUGAACCAAUCAUAGAGCGGUAAACCUUUUGGUCAACCGGUUCGCCAUACUUUGUCAAGUCAAGAUGUCCACUAGUAGGCAUGGGUGUACUCAUACCUUUGCAUUCUUGCAUGUUUAACUUCUUGAAUAAGUACUUGGUAUACUUUUUUUGAGAAACAAAGGUACCCUCCUUAGUUUGCUUGAUUAAAACCAAGAAAGAACUUGAGUUCACUCAUCAUAGACAUCUCAAACUUCUCCGACAUUAGCCUUCCAAACAUUUCACUAAAAUGGGGGUUAGUCGAACCAAAUAUGAUAUCAUCCACAUAAAUUUGGCACACAAAUAAUUCACCAUUAACCCUUUUAUUAAAAACUGUAGAAUCAAUUUUACCAAUUUCAAAGCCUUUUUCAAUAAGAAACUUUGUCAAGCAUUUAUACCAAGCUCUAGGAGCUUGUUUAAGAUCAUAAAGAGCUUUGUGAAGUUUGUAAACGUGAUCGGGUUUCUUAGGAUGAACAAAGCUGGGAGGUUGUUUAACAUAGACUUCCUCCUCAAUUUCACAAUUUAGAAAAGCACUUUUAAUGUCCAUUUGAUAUAAAGUGAUAUCAUGAUGAUUAUCAGCUUACGGCCAAGAUAUCCUACAGAUUACUUUAGUGCAUUCAAGAUUAGUGACGGAUGCUUAAUAGCGCAAGACUGGACCAAAUAUGUGAUGGGGGAGCGCAGAGAAGUACUAGGGGCAGCAAACAGAUGCGCUACCCACGAUUAGGAGACAGGUUCAUCUACAUGCUUCAGUUUGAUCGAGGAGGAGAGCUAUAUAUGUUUUAUGUUAUUUUACCUAAGAGAGAGCAGCAGGAGUGAUUAGCUAGCUAGAAAUGAGUUUGAGGAUGAUGAUGUGCUACACUAUUACUAUGAUGAUAAAAUAGCUAGUGUUGGUGGUAAUGACUAUGAUGAUUAUUAUUAGCUAGUGUUAGUGCUGAUUAAAUAAAUACUGUUGGUGGUAAUGACUAUGAUGAUGAUUAAAUAGCUUGUGUUGGCGGAUUAGAUUCAAGUGGAGGCAACAUGUGGUGCACAUCGAAAGUACUACUAGUCCAAACUAGAUCAAGUUUGGAUUAGUAGUAUACUUUUGACAUGCACCACAUAUUGCCUCCACUUGAACCUAAUCCACCUUCAUUUAAUACACUGUUAUGGACAUAAUGAUGUAAACCUCAUAAUAGCUGGUAUUGUACCAAUAUUUGUAUGAUGGCGCAUAAAUACACUAAAAAUAAAAAAAAUAAAAAAAAAUUACUAGUAGCGAUGGAAAGAAAACACGCUGCAAGUAGAUACCUUAGCAGUAGCGUGGUACUGAACAAACGCUGCGGCUAUUUGUCCUAACAGUAGCGCGUGCUGGCACGCGUUACUGCUAAGCAAUAGCUGUAGCGCCUUAUUAGUAGCGCGGCCACCCGCGCUACUAGUGGGCACAAAACACGCGCUACUACUAGGGUUUUCCCUAGUAGUGCUAGUGCACCUAUACAAUUUACCAUUGUAUUGGGUGUGUUGGGGACACAAGAGACUCUUUGUUAUUUGGUUGCAGAGUUGUUUGAGAGAGACCAUCUUCAUCCUACGCCUCCCAUGAAUUGAUAAACCUUAGGUCAUCCACUUGAGGGAAAUUUGCUACUGGCCUACAAACCUCUGCACUUGGAGGCCCAACAAUGUCUACAAGAAGAAGGUUGUGUAGUAGACAUCACAUCGCUGGUCAUCAAAGCCCCUUCAAUAAAAGCCCUGAUCAACCCAGUCAUCAGCUUUAGAGAGGUCAAUCUUGCAUGCACAUUGAGAUGACAUCGGGUCUCACUGGUGUUGAAAAUCCACCAUUGCAUCGUUGACUACAUUCCAUGCCAUUCAUGCAAAUCACCCCAAAAAGCAAAUAAGCCAUAAAAUUGCAGUUGUUAUCUCAUUUGCCCUAUGCAACAACGUCGAUGAUAUUAACCCAUUUGCUUUCAAAAAAGAGACACGCGCCUAAAACAACGCAAGAAAAAGGCUGUCAAUUCAAUGAAUAAAUGACCCAAAAAUUGGAAAUGGUUAAGCCGCACAUUCUCUUCUCUCCUCUUUGCAGCCAAGUUAUAUGAGAAGGGUAAAAAAUAGAAGUAAAAAACAUAGAAGAGAAAAUGUUGAUAGAGCCCUUUGUCCCCAUUACCAACAAAUCAACAAGAGAUCAUCACGUUCAUGUUGAACUAUACUUACUUGCACCAUCAUCCUACUUGUCACAAUGAAUGUUUUUGAUGUUUAUACAAAAAAAAGUAUAAAUACUAUAAGUUGUGGUAACUGUAUAAUAUUUAGAAAAUAUUAUUUUGUGUGUGCAUGCGCGCGCGCAUGUGUGUGUGUGUGUGUGUGUGUGUGUGUGUGUGUGUGUGUGUCAUGGUAUCCGAGAUAAAAGCAGGGUUUUCAGCUUAUUAGAAAAAUUUAAAAUUGAAGCCCUAGAUCUUUAACCUAGAAAAAGUAUUGAAAUUUUAAAUUUUCUUAACCUAUAGACAUGCUAAACAUGAACCACAUGCACCCCGAAUCACUUGAAAUGGUAAGACACAUAAAACUUCCAUCUCAAAUCCUUGCAUAAAAACUAAUGUUAGUAAAUAGAAACAGUAAGGCACUAGAGAUACUCCGAUGUAAAUCAAACCAAUAGAAACAUAACAAAAUCUUAAAGUUUCUGUUUGUUACUUCAGGCUCUGGUAGAAUAUCCCACAAUGCACGUGCUUAUGAGUAUAGUACACACGAGAAACUAUCAAAAAAUACGUGAAAUAUGAUAGAACAUGUGAUGGGAGUUAAGAACCUCAGUCAAAGUUGAGCACUAUGUAGCUAGUAUUUUAACCCAUAUCCGAUAGAGUGGCGGAUCCACGAAGGAAAUGUCCCCGUGCACACUCCUAAAAAAAUCUACCUAAUCUAAGUGUUAUAGAUCAUUAGGCAAAAAACACAAAUAUCUUAGUCAAGCUGAACAACAUUAUAAUUCACAAAGUAUUCCAAAAUUGCAAAUACAAAUAUUCUUACAUUAAAGAUACACAUAAGUAGAAAACUAUAACACUAAGUAACUCUACAAUGUUUGUUUAUGAUGAUCAUCAUUAUGUCAUCCUCACUUAAUUUCAAGAACACAUCUCACUCAAUAAAUGUCACUAAAUAAUAGUUCAUGAGAUCAUCACCCAUGUUAUGUCUGAACUUGUUAUUCACCAGAUUCAUUGCCAAAAAUAAUGUUUCAAUACUCAUCAUGGCCACCGGUACGAUCAAUACCAAUUUGAUAAGAAAGUAGACCAAACCAUAGAGAAGAUGCCUUUUUGUUUCAACAAGCAUAAUAGAGAGCUCAAUAAUAUUGUGCAUUGAUCUGUACCUAACAUUUUGUCACAUAUCAUCUAUGAAAGUAGUAAGUUGGAAUUCACGCAUUACGAAAUCCAGCCUUGAUAUGUCUUUGGAAUAGAAUUUGGUAAGUUUCAUUACCUGAGUAAGGAAGCUAGAGCUGAGAUAGAAGUUUAGAAGGCGGGUGAGGACGGAAGGGAGACAUAGAUGGAGAGGCAUUUUAGCGAUAUUCUUCUCCAGGCGCCAGGCUUGUUUAAUUGUGGAGGGAUAAAGACGAGGCAGUAGAACAUGUGCCAUUUCAGUUCAUCUUUAUCUCAAGAAGUAGGCUUCAUCACACAAAUAGUUGGAGUCGCACUACGAGAGCUUACCUCUGACACCUUGUCUAUGCCCUAGCUUCAGAGAAUCAAGCAUAGAACAAAAGUUUAUGACCAUAGUACAUAGAAGGAGCUUUCAAAAUACAAGCGAAUCAUGUUAGAACAUGCGAUGACAGUUACAAACCUCAAUCAAAGUUGAGCACUAUGCAACUAGUAUUGUAACACAUGUCUUAGACAGGCACAAUUCUAAUUUCAAUUUAAUCUCUAAUAAUAAAAAUUAUAGUUUAUCUCUGUGAAGAAAUACAUAAUCAAUGUUAUCUGCACGAGACACAUGAAAUUAUGUUCAUGAAGCCCUUCCCAGGAUGUGAUAGAACUGAGAAGAAAGACUGCCAUGCCAGUCGACACCGAGCAAGUACAACUUGCAUACAUGAGAAGAACAUAAUAGAGCAAGAUAACAUGCUAUGGAACAGAAAAAUAUGCAAAACGCACAAUGCGGGGUGCCCGACAGAGCAUGCUUACAUGUGGCACAUGUUGUUUGUAAGAGACUGGAGGGCAUCUAUGGUAAAUGUGCAUGACGGUUUGUCCCCAACAUUUUAUAAGUUCACCAUUUGUUUAGGUGAUGUCAUCAAGAAGAAACUACUACAUGUAAUGAAUGUUCCACUAACAUUACCUUGAUCCCAGCAUGGCUGCAUGUGUGCAUAGGAAGAAAUCACACUUUAUUUGGUGGCUAAUAGGUUGAGGACACAGAGCAUCGUUGGUCAUCAAGUAACACCUUUUCUGUCUUCAAUAUUUACCUCUCCAAAACCUGUCUGAACUGACCCUCAAAUACACCAUCCUUAGAAACAAAAGAAGGAACAAAAACACAU
rnacentral:lncRNA from 1 species